UCCACCAUGGGUGCAUUACACCUCCUCGUCUUGGCUCUCUCCACGCUCGCCGUUUCCGUCAGAGCUCACAAUAUUACCGAUAUGCUCUCUCCCUUCCCGGAGUACAGCCUCUACAACAGCUACCUCAGCCAAACUAAGCUUGCCGACGAGAUCAACAGUCGCCAAACACUCACCUGCCUUGUCCUCAACAAUGCCGCUAUGUCUGCGCUGGCCGGGAAACACCCCCUCUCCGUCAUCAAAAAGGCUCUCAUGCUCCUCGUGGUUUUGGACUACUACGACGGCAAAAAGCUCCACGAAAUCUCCGAUGGCACCACUCUUUCCACCACUCUCUACCAAACCACCGGUAAUGCUCCUGGUAAUCUUGGUUUUGUAAACAUUACAGAUCUGAAAGGUGGCAAGGUCGGUUUCGGCUCGGCGGCUCCCGGCUCCAAGCUUGACUCGAGUUACACGAAGAGUGUUAAGCAGAUCCCGUACAAUAUCUCGGUUCUUGAGAUCAGCGCGCCGAUCAUUGCGCCGGGGCUUCUGACGGCUCCGGCUCCGUCGGCUUCUGAUGUGAACAUUACGGGUUUGCUUGAGAAAGCUGGAUGCAAGACGUUUGCGUCGUUGCUUGUGUCGACUGGUGUGAUCAAGAUCUAUGAGUCAGCGGUGGAGAAAGGUUUAACUGUUUUCGCGCCUAAUGAUGAGGCUUUCAAAGCUGAUGGUGUGCCUGAUCUGACCAAGCUCACCAAUGCUGAGCUGGUGACGCUUUUGCAGUAUCAUGCUGUCGCUGCAUACAGUCCGAUAGGGUCGUUGAAGACUAGCAAAGAUCCGAUCAGCACGCUUGCAACUAGCGGCGCAGGGAAGUACGAUCUGACAGUGUCCACCGCCGGAGAUUCCGUUACCCUGAAGACCGGCGUGGACUCGUCCAGAGUAGCCGACACCGUGCUUGACGCUACGCCACUCUGCCUCUUCACCGUUGACAACUUACUCCUCCCGACCGAGUUGUUCGGAAAAUCUCCAUCUCCGGCACCUGCACCGGAACCAGUGUCAUCCCCCUCCCCAACUCCAGCGGUCUCUCCAAGCCCGUCACCAGCUGCCGAAGCACCUACACCCGUCUCCUCCCCUCCAGCUCCACCGAUGGAGUCGCCGGAAGGCUCUCCGUCAGAUGCCCCUGCUGAAUCAGAAAACAGCACGACGGACAAAUCGGCCGUCGACGUCACCGCUCCGGCAGUGUUGAAACUACUCGCCACGGUCAUUUUCACGGUUCUGUUGUCCUGAAUAGUAAUUUCCUUGGAUUGUUAAUUUAUUUCACUUUAUUUUUCCACGGUUUUCCCUUUUUCUUACUUUCAGCUUGGGUAGAGAGUUUUUUGUUCUUUUGUUUUUAAUUUAUUUUCAACAAUAUUUAUGGUUGGGGUGGGGUGCAGCGAUGAAGCUGCGCAUUUUAGCAGCACAGGGCAGUGGAAAUGAUAGUGAGGACAGUGGACACAGGGGUUGUUGAUUGUAUUUGUUCAGCUUUUUUUCUAUGAGAAACAUGUUGUUAUUAUCGGGUGUUUCGCACUGUAUUAUUUUAAUCCAAAAUUUUCUUGGAUAUAGCCAUGAUGGGUGGAAACCAAGGGCGUGGAUUGCAGGAUCUGACAGGAGCCAUGUGAUGGCAUGUGGACCACCGUUUUCCCCACUCGCAUUCAGUGGCAGCCAUCUAUGGAUUAAACAGCGUUCAUUUUCUCCGCGUAGCCACUUAUUUUGGCCAGUGAUAAUGGCUUCUUCUUUCUUUUAAAAAAAAAAAUUGUCGGUGAGGACAGAGAAUGCCCAAAGAUUCUUGUCUUUAAAAUGUGGUGUUAUGCUUAUAAAUAGAAAUUAAAACCAUGAAUGGUCUAGAUUGGAGGAGACCUCCAAAUCAUGUAUUAACGAGAAGUCACUGGAACCUUCCCGAACAAAAGACCUCAAUUGAAACGGACGAGUUUGUGAGAAAACUAAAUAAAAUCAGAGUGUGGAGGUGGAGUCCAGUUAUUAUUACCUGGCAUUUAUUAGGUUUUGGCCUCUCCCUCUGGUUUUUGCUAUGUGGUCCACCUAAUAACACUGGGUGAUGAAUCGAGGUGUUCUUGAUUUGGAACAUACAAGCUGGGCCAACUGAAAAUAAAUUUGCUCACAUCCAUCCAAAAUAUUUAUAUUUAUUAGGAAAUUGUUAGGUCACGGAUUUAUGGUCAAAUCCAACCAUGAAUUAAGCUACAAUAUAUAAGAUCAAGAUAGAAAAUAAAUGGACUCAAGGUAUUAUUCAAUAAGAUGAAAGUAGGGUACCAAAUGAUAAGAUCAAAUUGCAUACAUGUGAUUAUUUUUAUUUUUCAAUGGGUGCCAAAUAAUAAAAUCUAAGUUAUUCAACUAUAGUGUAAAUACAUUGAUUAAGGUAUAAAUAAAUGAUACCAAAAUAAAUAAAUUCAAUUGGACCAAAAUAUAAAUGAGGUACAAAAUAUUUUUUUUGUUUUGAUAAAUAAAGAGUUUAAAUUGAAUUAAGAAGAGCUAUCAAAAGAGCCGUUGCAACAGUGAACUAGAAACAAAUCUCCUUUGACCAUCAAGAUCUGAAUAAAGGAAAAAUAAAAUAAUGUCUUAAACAAGUACCCGAUCAUUCAAAAAAAACUUAUUAAAAUCGAUAGAUAAUCAUCUAUAAACAAUUUAAACUCUCACUAAAGAUAUUAAAUAAAAUCCUUUUUGACCUAUGCAAAUAAAAAAACUUCAUUAUCGAAUAUAAUUUUGUUUCUUAUCUUCCGAAACCAUUCAGAAUAAACACGAAAAGUUUGUUCUUCAAACCUUCUUAUGUUUUUUGUCCACAAAAAAGCUAUAUCACUCCGAUAGAGUCUUUGUAAUUUAUGAAGAUAACGCCUAAGAUAUCCAAAAAGUAUAAAAAGUAAUUCUCAUAAAACCCUUAUUUUUUCACAACGAAGAGGAUAUGAUCAUUGUGAUAUUAAGUAUAAUGAACCUUACUAAUGUGAGGAGGCUAUGAGUUGGAACCCAUUAGUAAAAAUAGAAUUCUAUGAUUUUGAAAACAAAAUCUACCCAUUGUUUUGGAUCACCGACAAGGUAUAAAAAAGAUAUAUAAAUUUAAACUCCUUCAUUAAAUAUGAAAAAAUCCCUCAAAACUAUUGACCUAAUUGGCUUGGUUUCAACCACAGAACCUUGUUGACCCUCAAAAUUCUAUAAAACCCAUUUCCCAAACAUUAAAAAAAACAGAGACUUGGACAUGGGAAUAUUCCAAAAGGAAUAAGCAAUUCAUCUGCAUAUAAAUAGAUAUGACCAAUGACAAAACUCUGUUUGUAUGAUAAUGGUGUCUGGCUUUGCCACAGUUGGAUCCCACUACCAGGAUCAUGGUAGGGCAUAUCUCAAAGUGUGUGGUGUGUAAUGGAUAUUUGGGUUUAUCUUCAAGUCAAAUUUCGAAAUAGAGUUACUAGAAACCAUCAAGUGCAGCUUCAAAUUCAAGGAAAAUGCUAAGCUAGUUCCUAGAAAAAGAAGUGGAGCUUCAAAUUCAAGGAAAAUGUUAGAAAUGUCGUAUCUAUAAAACAAAAUAUUCGAUGGUGGAAUAUGGGUACAAACUUAACUCCAUUCACCACUACGACACGAACCCACAUAUUUUUCAUGGAUUUUGAUUGAUUAUUAACGAGUUUUUGUUGAUGUCGAGUCAACUGGAUUCAGAUCCGUCCAAUUUCAUUGGAGUUUGAUGAACUUUUUCCCUACACAGAAGGAUGGUCGGGGCAUGCCCCUCUAAAGCUUAAGUCAUAAAUCAACGAGGAUAACUCUAAUUAUUUUUAGGGAGAAAAUGAGUGUAUGUGUAUACCUUGUUCGUGCUUCUUAAGGGGUUUAUAUAGAGUUGAUAGCACUGUUAUUAUCUUUCUUGUAAUGAUGAUUGCCCGGCAAAAAUCGAGCCUUGAUAGGACAAUCAAUGUCGUUAUUGUGGCGCAUAUUGGGCAAUCACAUCUAGUAAGGGCGACUAAUUGGUGUCAUUUGUUGACCGUCAUGCCAAAAUCUCGAAUUGUGUAGCUGACUGUCCUUUUAGUUUGUCAAUGUUUGAGAUUGUGUGUAACAAUUAAUUAACAUUGACUUUUGGAUGUAAAUGACGUCUAGUCCGCCGCUUAGACGUCAGGCGUUUAGGCUGUCACUCAAACAUCAGGCAUCUAGUCCGACGCUCAAACAUCAGGCAUCUAAACUGACGCUCAAAUAUCAGGUGCGGUUGACCACGUAUGACAUAAAUCUUGAAGACUUAACUGGAUUGAUUUACCUGUUUGACAGAUCCAGCUAGUUUGGUCUGUCCAUUCCGUCUGACAUUGUGGAAGAAGGAAAAUUUCUCACUUCUGGUGCCAAAUGAAACUUAUCUUGGUUUAGACAAAGUGAUCCCAGAUGGGUUAUAUGUUUGCCUUAGUCAACCAAAGAGUCUUGAGUCUGAGAAUGACACAUGGAGGGAAGCCCCGCAAUUUUGAUCAACACAUAUAACCUGUUUAAUAAACAAAUAAUUUUUGAAUCAAUAUGCAUAAUAUGAAUUCAACCAUUUAAUAAUUUUAUUAUUAACUUAAUUAUAUAUUUAAAUUAUUUAAUUCAUAUUUGAUUCAUUUUAAAUUUGCUUUUAAAUAAAUAUGUUAAUUAAAUUAUAAACAUGUUUUAUCGAAAAAUUAAUCAUAUAAACAUAUAUAAACCUAACUCGAUUAAGAUGACUUGAUUAUUAAAUAAAUAAUACGACGUAUUAUUUCUUUAAUAAUUAAGUAAUAUUUAAGUAUAUGUUUUUUAUACAAUUAUUAUUCAGUUGGGUUUAAGUUGAGUUAUAUAAUAAAAUACCUAAACUUUGACACAACAUGAAACACACGAUCCACCAACACGAAUUGUCACCAUAUUACAAAUGAAUAGAAUUAAGAUAUAAAGAUGCAAAUAAAUAAAAUUAAGAUAUAAAUAAUAAAACCUACAAAUGGAUAAGUUUACUUUGGUUUAGUGUUUUUUUUUUCUUUCAGUUUCUCAAUUUGACGGUGGCAUUGGCUGUGUGAUGAAUCAGAUGGGAACUGGAAAGGGGUAAUUUGGAUUGAGGCCGAAUUUGGGAUUUUACUUCAAAAAAUAAAAUAAAAUAAAAUUGCAAGGCAAAAUAAUUUAAAAAUAAAUAAAAAAUGCCAACUCGUUUAUUUUAAAUAAAAUUUAUUUUAAUACAAAUUUAAAAUAUUUAAAAUUCGGUGACAAUAAUUACCCAGUGAACUCUCCGUCUGAAAGUCCUAUACAAUCUAUCCUAUACAAUAUUUGCUUUCUUAAAACAGAAAAAAUAAAGCAUGCUUGUUGAGUAUUUUUGAAAACGGUUUAAAAUAUAAUUUUUGACAACAGUUUUUGAAAAUAAUUCUUUAAUCUUUAGUAAAACAAAAAUCGAUUUAGAAACAUAAAUAUUUUUAAAUAUAUUUUAAAAAUAAUUUUUAUAUCUAAUAUUUUAUUUUUUAUCAUUCAAAAAGAUGUUUUAUACUAUUCCGUCACAGUCUUUUUAGUUUAUAUUAAUUAUUUGUUAAAAAUAAAAAUGUAUUUUAUUUUAUUUUAAAAAAUAUAAUUUGAAACACUAAAAGAAAGAAUAACUUGUUGGAAAAAGUAUUGUAAUUUUUAUAUAAUAUAUAAGAAGUUUUUUAGACUUUCUUAGGUUGAUAAUGAUUUUUAAAUAUUAUCUUUUCAAAUUUGGAGUAUUAUCAAAUUUUUACUAUCUUAAAUUUUAAAUUUUUAAAAGUAAUUACUUAAUAUUUUGAUAAAUGCACGUUUUAACCCUUAUGAGUUCAUAAUUUUAUCAAAAUUUUCCCUUGAAAAUGAUAAAUAAAAAGGGUAGGGAUGGUAUAUAAUAAAACCUCGGUAAAAUAUUUAAAAAAAAUAUUUUUAAGAGAAUCAUAAUAUUUUUUUUAGAAAAUAUUAUAAGUGAAUUUUUAUUUUUUUUAAAUUUUACUAAAUAUUUUAUUUUUUUUAAAUACUUUUUAUGAUAAAAGCAUUUUUUUAAUGAUUAAAAGUAAUAGUAAUUUUACUAAUUUAUAUAUAAAUUAAAAUGAUUCUUUGAAAUUUAUCUAAAAAUGAUAAUCACUUUUAAAAUUUAUUUAAAAAAAUUUUAAUUAAUUUUUUUAAAAUAAAAUUGGAAAUGAUUUUUAAAGAGGAAUUUAAAGCGACGUCGUUUAAAUUCUAUUCAUCUAGGCAACUACUCGAGAGUCAAGAGGCAAAAAAGCAAAGCAUAGCCGCAAGGGGACGUCGAUGGCAAUGGCGAAGGGCAAUCAACAGCAAGAGAAACGACACCGUUCCAUCUUCGACCUUCCUACAACCUUCUUGUACUCCUGUCGUCUCCUUCCUUCUUCUUCUUCUUCGUCGUAUUCUGCAAAUCUUUUUUCAGAAACGAAGGCUGCGUCUCCAAGCUCAACUCUCGAAACCCUAGACGAGUCCAAGAAGUUGGAGCACAGUGCUAAUACUUCUCUGUCCAGAUGGUCCUGCAACACCUGCAAGUCCGAGUUCGACUCCCUCCAAGACCAACGCUCCCAUUUCAAAUCCGAUGUUCAUCGGUUCAAUGUAAGAACUCUGCGUUUCUGUCCCCAAAUUUUGAUUUUUGCCAUCAUAACAAUGGAAAAGUCUAGGUUUAGAUGCGUUUUCAAUAAUGGACGGUGGCGCUCUCGUUCUCCUAUUGCUCAAUUGAGCUCAUUGGCUGCAAUGUUUCCUGUAAAAUCUUAUAAUUUGACUAAGAUUUUGUUUAUAAAACCAGGGGCUCAUGCGUGCAACACUCGGAAUGGAAAGCAAAAAUUGGAAUUUUGGAAUUGUGAAAUUAUGUUCAAUUAUUUAGAUUUAUGAUGGUGAAUUGUAAAGUUUUUGUCUUCGUUGAUCCUGAAUUCGAAAAUCAUUUUUUUUUUUUUUUUAUAGAUUUUGAUGCUUUAUUUAUUUUAUUUUUGCUAAAGCUUCUGUCUUUUUGUAAUGAAUGAAAAACCAUGAUACACUGUUCUUAUUUAUUCAAAUAUCUGAAUGAAAAAACUGAUAUAUCUAUCGCUCUUUUGGGCAUGUUUUGUAAGAUAGUUGCAAAGUUUAAGAGUUGAACUGAUUUUAUUCUAUCAGAAGUGUCAGUCCCAGAAGUUGCACUGAAUUACUGUAUUGUCAGAGAAGCAAGUCUGAGACUGUGUAACGAGAGUGUCAUUGUUCUUACAUUUAUUAAGAACAUUUAACUAUUAUGUGUAAGCUAGGUCCAUCUUGAAGUUUUAGAUAAAAAAAUUUCCUGUUUCUGACCAAGCAAACAGUUUCAUUGUUGUUUCCCCAAUCAUUUUCAUUGCAUUUAUUUGUUAAUAUAUUUUCUCAGGUAAAGUUGAGCAUCGCCGGAAAGGGUAUUGUGAAAGAGGAAGACUUUGAUGAGCUAACUGCAGAUACUUUGUUCAAAGACUAUGAUAUAUCGAGUAUAUCAGGAUCAGAAGAUGAAGUUGACAAGAGAUGUUGGGCCCAGAAUGACAUGCACAAGGGUUCAGAUGACAAUGUUAAACGAAAGCUAUUUAUUCAGCUUCAGACAGGGGAGAAAGUUUCACUUUGGAAGUGUUUAGUUUUGGAUGAAUCUGAAAAUAUUUCAUAUGAGAACGACCCUGGUUGUUGCAUGCCAUGUUUGAAAGAGAGUGAUGUGAUUGAGAAGUUGAAAACUGUGAUCCACGAGCCUAGGGAUAAUACCCAUUUGAGGGUUGUGUUGCUUGCUAGUGGUGGGCAUUUUGCUGGCUGUGUCUUUGAUGGUAACUCUGUUGUGGCUCACAGAACAUUCCACAGGUUAGUGUUCCUCUUUACUUGAUUCAAUCAUCCAAAUAAGGGUAAUGGAGAUAAAAAGGUGAACUGUAUCACCAUCAACUUUAUCACCAUCUGAUUUUUCUUCAUUUCCAGUGGUCAUCGCAGGGUAAUAGUGUAAUACCUCCUGUUAUUUAGUAUUCCUAAAUUUAGCACUAUACCACUGAUUUUCCAUUUUCUAGAGUUGACUGGGUUUCUUUUCUGCCUUUUUUUUUCUUUUCCUAAUGAAGUCACUGAUAUACGUAGUUGGGUAUCUUUUAAUGAAGGACCUUCAGUGGUCAUUGGCAACAUCAUAUGCAAUUCUGUGAUCGAGAUGUUAGACCUGUGUAUAAUUUCAUGAUUUAUGCGUUACCAAUACCAAGUGAUAGAUAAUAUUUAGAAUUGUUAUAAUAAUUUCUUCUUAAUUAUUUAUUUAUUCUUUUGAUCCUUAUGAUAUCUUUCAUCCUUAUUUUUCAAUUAUCUAGUCUUAUCCAAAUGCGCAGGAAUUUGAACUGAUACCCAGAAAAGUAGAUAGGUCUGAAUUUGAACAUGAUUCUAUCUACUACCUUGAGCUGACUUGGCACAAUUGGGAAUCACAACCACAGCAUUGGGAUUUGGAGUCUGUUAAGUUUGCCUUGGACCUAGUGGGGAUAGCAUUUCCUAAAAUUGAUUUAAUGUUGAGCAGUCCAAUCAUUUGAACACACACAUAUACAUGUAGUAUGGCAUCCAUCUUCCUUUAACAACAUUGAGGAACUACCAAAUCUGGUCAAACUAUCGUCAAUUAUAUUCAUAUUGACAUUGGCUACCUCCAAGAGGAUUAGGUCUUCUGAUCAAAAAAAAAAAAAAAAGAGGAUUAGGUCUUGAAAUAGUACAUCUUGACAUUGGCUACUUACAAGAGGAUCAAGUCUUGAUCUGUGUGCUAUUUCACUCUUUCAGGGAUGUUUGCUUACAAUUUAAUUGUCUCAUGCAGCAAGUGAGAGAGUAGUGAGAAAAUAUUCUUCAAAAAGAAAAGAAAUCUGGUUAUGUUAUAUUGGAACUUGGUCAUAUGGUAGUUCCUAACUAGGAUUAUGUAUUGAUGGUCCAUCUUUGUGCUUAGUUGGGAACUUCUUCUUCUUUUUAAAAGCGAGUCUGAAUUGGGUGACUAUGUUUUACCAAAUUACAAGGCGUGCUAAAUUGAUUUCACAGUCACCUUUGGGUGGCUUGCUUUCUCUCUCCUAAAAGCAGUAGCUUACAGGUCAGACCCAGAAAUAAAUGACAUAUUUUUCCCAUUCUCUGUGCAAUAGCAAUAUUGGUAGAGUAAACGGGUUUUCCGCUUGUGUAACUAUGAUGAAAGUGAAAGAAUAUUUUAAUUUUUUAAUGGAAGAAAAAUCCAAAAAUGUCAUUUUAAAAGUUAAGAUAUAGAGCUUUUGAAGAUCUCUUUACUUGUUUGCAAUCAUACAAACAACGGAUGUACUGUUAAUCAGUUUCCAACAGUUGUUUCAUGCACAAUUUUACAGAUCAAAAUUUAUACUUCAUUACAUAUAUUAUAUAUCCAAUUUUGGCCCAUGAAAUUGCUUCUAACUAAUCUAUCAAAACUAAACAAAAGAAUAUAAAGAGAGAAUCCUCAAACCUGUAUGGUUUGUAGUUAACUUCAUGCCCACUAGUUCUAAUUGUGGUGCUCUAUGUAGAGGUGGCCAAAAUCAUAUAAUGUUUUUCAUUAUAGUAGGUAUGCGUUAUCAUCUUUUCAAGUGUUUAUCUUUGCGUGGAAGUGAAUAGAAUUUAUUCAAGCCUGACUUCAAUUGCCAAUUUUGAAAAAUUAUUGGAUGCAUCUGAUGUUUUCUCUUUGGGUAUGGGUCAACUUUUUUUGUUAUCAUGUAGAUAUGUCGUAAGGGCCAAGGCUGGUAAAAAGCAGUCAUCAAAAGAUGCAGGUGGCAGGGCUGCACAUUCUGCUGGAGCUUCACUUCGCAGAUAUAACGAACUCGCUCUGAAGAAGGUAUUCAAUAUUUGGUGGUUCAACUUGUUUGCAAUAGACUUGUCAAACUAUUUACUUUUGUUGUUUCAUGAAUAAUUUCAUUUUGAUUUUUAGCAGGUAUGCCUGUUUGUGAAUGAAAUUUAGAUGUUCUACUGAAUUAACCUAAUUGUAGUUUGGUGAUAAUUAUCACAUGAGGAAAGAUAUGGUCUAAUACUUCAAAAACGCUUCAGUUCACCUCGCAGGCCCCCAUUUCCACUUACAUUUGUUCUCACACUGUCAUGCUAGCAUGUAUUUGCUUAAACUGCUAAAAUAUGUAUGGAUACAUCUGCUGUUGAAUGUGCGAUAUUCUACUGAGACAUUAUCAUGUCUAUACCAUUUAUUUUCCAUUAUGUUAACAAUAGCCAUCUUUUACAAUUACCUUAGUUGUACAGCAGCAAAUUUUUAAGUUUGGUACCAUGUGUGUAAUAUUUAAAUUAAUUUUCCCGAUCUUUUACUGCUGGCUUAUUUAUAUAUCUCACUAAUAUUCUAGGAAAUUCAAGAAUUACUUGCUUCUUGGAGGCCUUAUUUUGAGGCUUCCUCCUGCAUCUUCAUUUAUGCUCCUUCAAACAAUCGUCAACUGCUUUUUAAUGGGGAAAAGGCGUAUUUCAGUAACCAGACUGCUGCUCGAAAUGUUCCAUUGACUGUUCGAAGGCCUACAUUCAAGGAAGCCCAGCGUAUAUAUAACCAAUUGACACAAGUUGCCUAUGAUAUGGAUGAGACGGAAUCUCCAGAAAGCAUCAAAGAUGAUUCACUUUUAAGGUUAAGCACUAUUAGCAUCAACAGCCCAGAGUCCAGCAAGGUGGGCACAGAGGACAACUUGGAGAGAAGGGUAGCCACUGAAGCAUGUUCAAGUAACAAAAAAUCUGAUGACAUGCCCAUAUCAAGUGAGAGUGAGCAUGAAUUUACUGGUUCAUCAACACCUUUACAUGAAGCAGCAAAGUCUGGAGAUUGUCAUAAAGUCUUGGAACUCCUAGAGCAGGGUUUGGAUCCUUGCAUUAUAGAUGAAAGGGGGAGGACCCCAUAUAUGCUGACAACUGAGAAGGAAGUCAGGAAUACUUUUAGACGGUUCAUGGCCUCCAACCUGGACAAGUGGGAUUGGCAUGCUGCAAGAGUGCCCAGUGCAUUGACAAAGGAAAUGGAGGAAUCUCAAGCAGCUAAGCAGGUAUAGCUGAUAUGCUUUUUAAUGAUUCAUAUAUGAAGAUUAUCUUGGCAUCUGAAUUAGUUGCAAAUGUCAUGUUACUUUGUCAUUUCUAUAUGUCCCUUGCAUGCAUAAAAUUCUUGUUACUUGAUGAGGUUUCAAUAGGUUCUAUCUGUACAAGUUAUAUACUUUUUGAGCCCUUGCUUUCUUAGAUUGAUAUCCUUGUAUUUAUCUUCUCAAUUGAGAGGUGCUUUUUCCAUGGCUUCCUUGAUUGUUAUAUUUGUUGAUUAGUAUUUUUUGUUGAUUUUAAAAUUGAUGAUAGGUCUUCUUUUCCUUAUCAGGCAGAUAAAGAUGCAAAGAGGAAAGCAAGAUCAAAAGAGCUGAAGAAACUGCGGAAAGCAAAAGAAAAGAAGGCUCAGGUGCACAUUCUUCAGUCUUUGUCCUAAUAUUUUAUCGUGUUGUUCAUAGAAAGCUUCUGUUCUUAUCAAUAGUGACUUGCUGCUACUGGAUUAGGCUAUAGCUUUACCAUGAAUCUAUUUUAAGAGAGAAUUGUUUUAGUGUGAGUGAGUGAUUUAUUAACAAAAGUCAAAAAGGAGAAUGUAACUUUUGAUGAUUAUAUCAAUUAAUAUAUCUUGUCUUCCAACAUAAUUCAUUAUUAGAGGGUCAAACUAUAUACUGCAUUUCUCAUUAAUCUUAUCACCUCUGUUUUUUAUAUGCAGGCUCAGGCUGCCUUAGCCCAGAAUUCCUCAACAGUUUCAGAGAAUCAAGGAGCUAAGCUGGUUUCAGUUCUCAAGGGACAGCCUCAAUCUAGUAGCACCAUAUCCAGAGAGGUUAGAUUUUUUUAAUUUUAAUUUUAUUUAUUUAUUUUUGAGUAAUGACCUUGCUGAGUGUGUUUCACCAAUCUCUCACUUUAUUUUGACUUUCUACUUUUAAUGGGGAGCAAAGUUCUGCUUGAGCUAGUGCUUGCUCAGCUAAUUGCCUCCCAUGUUGUGAUCAUUUUGGAUCUCAACUAAAAUAAAGAAUUUGAGGUCACCUUUAAUUUGAGGUCAACUUUUUUGUUCUUCAUUCAGGAGGAACUGAAGAGAGCAGCUACUGCUGAGAGGGAAAAGAGAGCAGCAGCUGCUGAGAGGAGAAUAGCAGCAGCUGCAUCCCUCAAUGCUCAAGGGCCUGGUACAACCAUUGGACCAAGUAGUUCACAACCAAAAAGUGGGAUAGCAUCUGACAUAAACUGCUCCUACUGUUAUGCAUCAUUAGCUGGUAAAAUCCCGUUUCACAGGUAUAAUUACAAAUAUUGCAGCACAACAUGCAUGCAUGUACACAAAGAGAUACUUGAGGAUGGAUAAAAGAAAAAAACACUUCCAAUAUAUGUACACAUUUUUUAUUUUUCAAUUCAUGGAUUUUUCUCUUGGUGUUAAAUCUACUUAUUCCAAGGUGUUUAAUUUAAUCAUGCAUUUUUUUUUUUGUUUCAUUUUCACAUACAAAUACUGCCGGCCUUGUUUGGAAAAAAUCGUUCCACCAAACUCUCACAUCGUCUCUGAACCUUAACUUUUAUUAAUAGUUUGGUUAUUUAUUGAGCUCAUAACUUUCUUGUUUAGUUAUAAUAUUUUCUUGAUUGCUAUGAUGUUUGAAGGACAUUUAUCAUUGGUUACUUCAUGCAUUGUUGGAAUGGGCAUGACUGUUCCUGUGAUAACUUAUUGCAACUAAAAAACUUAUAAGUGAUAUGAUGAGAACAUGGGCAAAACUAUAUUGUAAAUCCAGUUGUUGGACAACAUUUUUAUUGCUAUAUGAUCUCCUUGUUAUCUCCAUCCAAAACACGAUACAUGAAUAUGUGUUUGUUACCUAUAGACAUGUUUACUAUCCAGAUGAAUGAUAUGCCUGUCCUGUUAGACAUGGAACUUGAUUGGCUGAUCAGCCCCAAGUACCAUGAACCGGGUGUAGGUAAAAACUGAACCUAGUGAGUUCUAUAUCUAUUGUGCUGGAUCCUCUUCCCUUUGUGCCUCUGCCUGUUGUACCUCUGCCCCUUUUAGUUGUUUAACCUCUCCAUCCUCUAGCCUUUUGAUUUGCCUUCCAAUGAUCAGCAUAGCAGUAUAGCUUGAACAGAACCCAAUACUAUCGAUGAUGAUCUGCAACAGUGAAAUGGGGUGCUGAUCCUUUGCCCCAUCUGCCAAGUUCCUCAUCAAAAUCCCACUGAGAAAUACACAAGAUCAAGUUAUAAUGACACAAUUUGCAUAUACAUAGUUAUUCCAGGCUCUGUUUCUGUAAGGUUUUGAACAAAAACAUUCAUUAACAAAUUGGAACCCUAGGGUAAAAAGAAGAGGUCCAACCUGUAGAUUGCAGCAAAAAUAUCAGGCACCACUCCGACCAAUGACCCUACCAGGUAAGCACUGUACUUGAUGUUGGUGGCACUAGCAAUAUAGUUGAACAUUCGGUAUGGAAAUGGUGAAAUUCUAAUGAAGACAACAGUACAAAACUGUCGAAACCAAUUUCCUUGGAAGGCUAGUCUUACAAUGGAAGCGUCUUUUGGAAUUCUAAACCACAAUCUCUGAUCAAAACAAAACAACGAAUCAAUAUAUGUUACUUGUAUGAUGAGAGAGUGACAUGAAAUAGAAACAGAGCAGUACUGACUCGGAUCUUAGAGCGGAAGGGAUAAGCAAUGAAAUAUGGUAAUGUCACGCCCACAGCUAUCCCAGGUAUGAUUAUUAGGAACCCCAGCUCAUACCCAAAAACAAUUCCGGCAAUCCACAAGGAUGGCGUAGAUUCCAGAAGAGCAGCAGGGAACAAUGCCAAAGAAGCAAAUAUCGCCGCUGCUAGCUCUAAAGGACUGAAAUUUACCGCAAGCCAUUUGAUAAGUGGGUUUACAUUCUGCAAACGAUAAUGGACGAAUGGCUAUUGCUUCCUGGACACGAACGAAGGAACAUGUUUGAAGCAAUUUACUUAUCUCUCUUGAAUCCUUCUCGAUAGAUGCAGGUAUUCAAGAAUGUAUCUUGCAAAGAAGUACUUGUAUUUAUCCAUGAAAUUUUCAAAGCAAUCUUGUAAAUAAAAAAAGUAUAAAUGUUGGAGAAAUUUACUUUUCUUGAAUGAUAAGAGUACUCGAGAAUGGAUCAUAUACAGAAAAGAAACGUAUUUCCAUUAAUUUUUUUUUCAGAGGCAAUCGAUCAUUCUCAUUUCUUGAAAAGAUUUUCAACAGAGAAAAUAUUUAGGAGCGAGAAAUCGUUUUCCAUUUUUUUGUUUUUCCUCCAUUUUCCCGGGAACCAAACAAAAGAAGAAGGGUGGAUUACCUUGGAAAAGGAUAUGAGGGCAGACCAUUUGAUGACGAGGAAGAGCAAAAGGGCGACGAAAGUGAGGAGCGAUAUUGGACCACCAGCAGGAGUAUCUGGAACUGGUAGGUUUUGGAUGCACAGAAUCUUGGUGCACUCGGGGCCCACCAUCGUGGGGGCCGUCUUCUACCAAUCUCCCGUAGGGUCCGAAAUCGGGCAUGGGCUCCUCGUCCAUUUCAGUCUUCGUCUGCUAAACGGCGUCGUAUCAAUCUUCUGUUUUCGACUCGUUGGAAAGCUCCGUGGAAUGGUGGAAUGAAAUUUGGUUACUCCGUGGGCUCGUUCAUGGUGGGACCCACCUAUUUAUAAAUAAAUAAAUUAUGGUCGAUGCUAUUUUUGUAAUUUCCCAUCAUUAUUUCAAUUUUAUUCUUUCUUUUGGUUAUUUCUCUUUUAUAAAAAAAAUGCUAAAAAUUUAACAAGAUUUGGGCUGUUUGAUGUUGGAAAGAUGAGGAAAAAUAUAUCAAAAAGAAAAUAGAGGGAAUAAAGAGGAAAAAUAUAGAAUUAGAGGAUGUUCGUAUUGUAAUUUACUUUUGAGUUUUAUUCAUUUAUUUAUAAUUUAUUAUAAAUUUUUAAUUGAAUAGAAAAAAGUUAAAAUGUUUAAUUUUUUUCUAAAUAAAAAAUAAUAUAUUGACUUUUUUUUUUUUUUAAUGUUUAAUACAAAUAAAAUAUUAUAAAAGUAAAUAAUUUAAUGUUUUACGUUAUUAUUUAAUUUUAAAUUCUAUUUAAAAUUAAGUAAAAAAUUAAAUAAAAGACAUUUAAAUAGCAACUUUUCCAUGAAAAAAAUCCUUUCAUGUUGGUAAGAAAAAGUUUGAUCUAUAGAAAACAUCGGUGAAAGAUAAAAAAAAUUCCAAUAUGAAUGAAUAAUUAUUUUUAUUUUAUUUUUAAUUAAUUUAAUUCAAAAAUGAAAUUUUGAGUUGUAGAGAAUCUUAUUUACACGAAAGUUAUAGAAAUGUUGGAAAAUUUGUAUAUAUAUAUUACAAGAACAUGAAAUAGUACCCCCUGUUUCUAAUAACCUACGGUUCUCAGCGGCACGCAAGAGAAAAUGGUUUGUUUAGUUUUCAUUGUGGCAUUUCAUCGAACACCUUUUCUCUCACGAAUCGAAGCUUGGAAUUCACGGGUCAUUCACUUUCUUUUUGCAGUCGGUGACUCUGCAUACCAACCUCGGUGACAUCAAAUGCGAGAUCUCUUGCGACGAGGUCUCUAAAACGGCCGAGGUUAGCACUCGUUACCCCAGUAGACUCAAGCCUUUGGAAUGUGUGGUUAACUCUGUGUAAACUCGAAAAUCAUGUAUUGGUUGUGUUUGGGAACAUACCCAAAUUUAGUUUUGAUUUCAGUCGUGCCUUCUGUUGGUGGGCUUGAAUUGGAGUAGGGCUUUAAUGCAAGCGUGUUGAUGGAAGAGGAAUCUUUUUGCCUUGGCACACAUAUUGAAAGGGGCAGCAUCAUCGAUGAAAAGGAUCAAGCCUCCUACCCACAUGAUAAAAAUUUUACCCCUGUUUCUAGAUUAUAGCAGAGAAAAAUGUGAUUGAAACCCUUACAAGGAAAGAGAUUCGCAAAGGAAUAUUUUUGUAUGGCAAGCUUAGAUUGGACUAUAGAUCAAUUCACCACCGUAUAUAGAUUCAUAAACCAGUGCAAUAUCAGCUUUGUUUAGCCUGUGAGCUCUGUUUUGGUGUUUGAAUGAAAGUUGGAUUGAUGCAGCUUCCUAGAAGCAUAAAUUCUUCUAACCUCUAGUAGCCCCUUUUUUUUUAUAAUCCCAACUAUUCCUUUUAAUUUAUGAGUUAUUUCUGUUUCUUUGCUUGCCACCAAGGCACCAACACAAAUGAAAUUGGUUUUCUUAGCCACUGCCUAACCACGGAGAUGAAAUUAUACACAUAUAUUUUUUUUAUUUGUGCUGCUCGUGAACUAUGUUUACUGAAAUUGCUUACUGGUGUUUUCUAGUAUUGUGUUCUAAACUGGGUUUAUUUUUAGAAAUACACAUCGAUUUGACCAUCACUUUUGUUCAGGAAUGAGUAUUUAUGUUUAUGAUGCAUGUGACUGAUUGUUUUUAAUUAUAUUCUAUCAACUUUUGAAUGGAUUUUGGAGUAUUAGCCAAGAGGUUGUUAUUAUUGUAAUUUUUGUUAGAUUGUUAGAGUCUGUUCUUUUGAGCCUGUGUUGUUAUUGUUUUUGUGACAAUAUGCUGUGUUCUAAUAGUUUUGUGCUUUUAUUUGGAUAGAAUUUUUUGGCACUCUGUGCUAGUGGCUAUUAUGAUGGAACCAUAUUUCAUCGAAAUAUUAAAGGUUUUAUGAUCCAAGGUGGAGACCCAACAGGUACAGGCAAAGGGGGGACCAGCAUAUGGGGAAAGAAGUUCAAUGAUGAGAUACGAGAGUCUCUCAAGGUAAUUUAAUAUAAUGCAUGAAGAAUUCUCAGACUAUAAUUAUCUUCUUUUACUAAUCAGAAUGUGUGUAUAUAUAUAUAUAUAUGCCUUCCCAAGAAGGCAAAGGUGGGAAUAGUUUGAUCUACCAAUUGAAAUUUCAGGCUCAAGCUGGGCACAGGCCUCUUUCUAUGGUUGGGGUGUCCAUCCCCCUUCAUUUUCUCUUUUUUGCUGGCUGCAAAUUAGAACGGCCCGAAAAAUAAUUCUCCUAAAGUAGUCCGUGUAUACUAAGACUAUCAUGCUUCUAAGACUGUUUACAAAUUAUCAAAUCCAUAUUAUGCUGGGUGGAGCUUGAUUCUGCUUGGCUGAUCCACAGGCAUAGUUCUUGUUAUGUCUUAAAUGGCCAAAUUUUCAUAAUAUGCUCUAUUGGGUAAUUGUAGGCUAGAAACAUUUUAUUCUAAUCAUGAUACCAAUGGCUGCCCUUUUCUCCCUUCUUUUUUCCAGCACAAUGCAAGGGGAAUAUUAUCAAUGGCUAAUAGUGGCCCCAAUACUAAUGGAAGCCAGUUCUUCAUAACGUAUGCUAAGCAGCCACAUUUGAAUGGAUUGUACACUGUGUUUGGAAGAGUGAUUCAUGGAUUUGAAGUCCUUGAUAUCAUGGAGAAGGUACAUUUCUGUGCUCUUAAGGUCAAUUAUCCGUUUCUUUUGUGGUUGAGAAUCACUGUGCCUCUGUGUGUGUGUGGUUGAGGGGGGUGGGGUGAGAGGAAUAAUGGGUGACUUAAAGGAAACCAAGGGUGUAAAUUUGGUUUUCACACCUUGAAGAGUAGGAACUUGGUAUCUCUUUAUAUGGGAGCUGAUUGUGAAAAAAUCCCUUGUUUAUGGGUGGCUUCCAAAUGGGAUGAUGUUGGAUUUUUUUUUAAAUGAUGAGCGUGUUUUAGAUUGGUGGGCAGGAUAUUUUGAGGGGGGCAUAGUCGAUUAUAGCACCAGAAAAGAAGACAUAGAAUAGGUGCUUUCUCAAAUGCUGCCUAAAAUUUUCUGAAUGAGUUGAUUUCUGCAAAGCGUUCUUACCAUACAGGGCUCUAUGCAAGCUGCUCGUUUCUGUUGAACCUUUUUUUUUUUAAUCAAAUAUACUGUUAAAUAAUGUUUUUUGGUUUGUGCAGACUCAAACUGGAGCUGGGGAUCGGCCUCUUGCAGAGAUCAGGCUCAAUCGAGUGACAAUACAUGCUAAUCCACUUGCUGGCUAGGUUUAGUUCACUGCAUUUCUGGGUUGUAAGCAUGUGAACCAGGGUGGUCUCAGAACCUCUGUAUCUAUAAUCCAGUGAUUUUAGGACCAAACUCCUGGCUACAGGCUCUCUGUAAUUUUCCUUUUUCCUCUUUGAAAUAUGCAGCUGAAAACAUGAAAACCAAAAAAGAAAGAAGGAAAAUUAUAUUAUUGUGAUCACUAGCAGAAUUAUGUGUAUGGCAGCAGUUUUGUUUCUUACCAGGGAGAAUUUGAAGAAUGCAAAUGGUAAUUUCAACUGUGAAUUUUUUGCCACACAAGUGUGGGACAGUGGGACCCCUCCCCCCAAAACGUUGGUCCUGUUUUACUACCACACUCAAUAUUGAAUGGAUAAUUUUGGAAUUAUACUUGUGAUUUUCUUCCUGUGCCCAUUGAAAUAUAGAUCUUUUAAUUUUCCCCUCUGAUUGAAAAAUGACCUCAAUUUGGUUUCUCAUUUGCUAUGUGAAAUGACUAAUAAGGCCACCAUAUGGAAUUGGUCGUUUGCAAGAGACCAUUUUGGAACACAUGGAAUUGGAUACACUUCUCCGUGGUGUAGCAUGACCAACCGGUAGUGAUUUUGAAAUCCUUCUCCUUUUGCUUCUACGACGUCGUUUUCCUCAGCUUCGUCCUUCAACCAAUAUAUGCAUACAUAUAAACUGGUGGCAGUCCUAACGGCAACUCUUCAAAAUAACGUCUGGAAAUGCCUUCCCUUCUGCUGCAUCAUCUCCCGCCAACUCCACUUUCCACAACCAUCAAAAUCAGGUCUCAUCCAAAACCUUCAUCCCUCGUGCAAGGUAGCACCCGAACUCCCCUGUGUAUAACGUGCGCCCGAAGCCAAGAUGAUUACCACGCCACGCUCGAUGCUCUCAACUCCAAAGGCCGCACUCCCAGAAAAUCUCUCGGCCAGGUUCUUCCCUCUAUUCGUUAACUUUAUCAGAAAACGUUUUCAAGGAUUUGUUUUUCACUUGGACUCCACUGAGGCCUUUCAUCGAAUAGUUAACCGGCUUCUGGGAAACUUUUCCGUUACACAAGUACAGUGCUAUAAAUAGUGCCCACUAGUUGGGUUGUUGUUAUUGAAUUUUAGCUUGGUGUUCAUCGUAUGCAUUGUCUUCUUUCUUACGGUGCCGUGGUUUUGCAGCAUUACAUGUUGAAUUCUUCCAUAAAUGAGCAACUUGCUGACACUGCGGAUAUUAGGGAUGGUGAUGUGAUCCUUGAGAUUGGACCCGGAACUGGUUCUUUGACUAAUGUUCUUCUAGAUGCGGGUGCAACUGUUCUUGCAAUUGAGAAGGUUGGUUUCGACUGCAUUACCUGUACUCUGUUGAUUAAUCUGGAAAUAGUAUCAAAUCAUUGUCUCUAGAACGAGAAAUUGAUGAUCUUUUUCAGUAUAUGAUAUUGUGAGAGGCAUGUUAUCAUUUGUUGAUAAGCAGAGUACUUGAACGAACAGAGUCUCAAGUUUUCUUUCCUAGUUUUUCAUGCCAUUUCAGUACAAGGAAAAGUAACCAUUUCAUAGAUUGUUUAGUAUAUCAAGUCAUAAAUAAUCAGCUUAAUUUGACAGGGUUUUAACUUUUAAUUGUUCUUGAAUGUUUCUUUCAGAACAGCUAAAAGGUUUUUCCAUUAAUGCGGCAAUUAUGUGGAAUGAUUUGAUGCAGAAUCUGACAGCAUGUUCAUUUGGAACUGCAUUUAAUUCAACUCCUUAUGAAAAUAUCAUCUCUAAUUUAUUAUACAAAUGAAAUCUCAUAAUAUGUAGAGUUGUUUGAAUUUUGUGCCUUACAAGCAAGCAUGAAAGGUAACGAUAAUCAUUAUUUCCUGUGCUCCUUUUUUAUAUCUAGGACUAAUGUUAUGCUUAUCGUAUGAGCUGUAGGAUGCACACAUGGCCGCACUUGUGAGAGAAAGGUUUGCAGUUACAGACCGUCUCAAGGUAAGCUAUAUUUUGGCAAUAAAUCUCUUUAAAAUAAAACUUGUAUUUUGUGGCUAGUUUUUUGUUCUCAGAAAUUUUUGUUUGAUUUUUUUUUUUUUUUGAGUCUAAAAUUAUCUUCAUAGACUUCAUUUUUGGGAGAACUAUUCUUGCUUUUAAAAGAAAAUAUUGAUUUGCAAGAAGGGAACAAAAGCAGCAAACGCUUUGCUAUUGUAACUUCUGACAUGCUACUUAAACGAUAAAAGGACAGCAUCUCUAUCACCAGUUGUUUCUUAUAGGUUAACAUGUUAUUCUUUUUCAUCAUUGUUAUCUAUCCGGCACUGAUAUGCUUUCAUAUUAUGUAUUAUCUUGUAACCUUAAAUAAAUUUCCUUGGGCAAACUUACAUUGUUUGAUGGACUACUACCAUAGACAUAUAUAUUUGAUUUAUUUAUAUUAAAGCGUGUCGUCUUGUUCUUUUGACCAUUACAUUGUGAAUGAUGUCCUAAUUUCUGAUAUUUUCAAUUGGAACUGUAGGUUUUGCAAGAGGACUUCAUGAAAUGCCAUAUUCACCCUCAUUUGUUCUCAUUGUUGGAAAGCAAAAAAGCAAAGAACAAAGAAUCAAGAUAUGCAAAAGUGAGAACUCUACACCAUGUACUUAAGCUGUCUGAGUCAUUUGCAUUGUACUGUCCUCAUGAAUAUGAUCUCCAGCUGCCCACUGGAAUCAAUGCACUUUUCACAGUACAUAAAUUAAAAAGAUCUGUAGAAACUUGGCGAGAGUAGCCGUUACUGUGUCUGACAUGCAUCAGAUGCAUACACUACUCAGACACAAAAUAGAGAGAUAGGAAUUUGUUGUACAAACUGCACUACUUGACAUCUAUGAGAUCCUAUGUUUAAAUGUCCACGAAUUUGAAUACUGUUAAUGUGGUCAUACAUAUUGAAGUUUUAUGAUAUUUUCUUGAAUUGAUUGGGUACUGCCUCAGAUGUACUUUUAAUGACUACAUAAGCAUUGGUAUGUAAUUAUAUGGUAAUAAAUUCAUUAGGAAUUUGUAUCUUUGAUGAAUGUUGUCUCCUCCUCUCCCCAUGGUCAUAAUAUCCUAAAAUGGUAGUAUGCAUUGCUUAUUUGCAGGUAGUCUCCAAUAUACCUUUUAAUAUAAGCACGGAUGUAGUAAAAAUACUUCUUCCCAUGGGGGACAUCUUUUCAGAGGUUGUUCUCUUACUUCAGGUUGGUAAUGUUGCCUCACUGAUGUUGACUUUCUAAUUUCUACAUGUUUUACCCAUGUAAUUGCUACUAAUUUAUUUCUUUGUUAACAUUGUUCAGUAUCAAAUUUUAGUGUCCUACCAAAAGUCAAUAUGAUUUUUGUCUUUCUGUGGUUGAUGAUUUUAAGAUUGGCAAUAUGUAACAUCUUCAAGGAUUUUAAGAAUCCUCACACUAGAGCCAUCAAAUAAAAAAAAGUACCUCCAUUGGACAAAGACACACAGGAAUGUAAGCAAGUGAAGUACAUUGAAUCCUAAUCUUACAUAAGUUAGCUUCAACAAAUACAAUGAAUCCUAAUUCUAUAUAAGUUUGUUUCAACAUUUUCAGAAUGAGGCCUUCAAAUGCUUUCACAUCUUUUCUGGAUGAAUAAGACUUAAAUUUCAAGAUAUGAUUUGCUUUAUUUGUCGCUUAUUGUUCAGAUAAAUAAAUUUGCAGAUGCUGGUAGAUCUCAGAAUAUUUGUACCAUGAAACCCCUCUUAAUGUUUCAGUUUCAUGCAUAUGUCACUUGUUGUAAUUUAGCCCAGUAUUAAAGACUUAAAAGUUAAAACUACAAAUGAUCAUAGUUCCUGAAAUACUUGUUUCAUCAAACAGACCGCUGUAUGAUAAUGAAUCUCUGCCAAAUGUCAUUUAAUUGUUUUUUGUUUUUUGGGGUGUCAUUAUAAUGAAGAAAUAUUUUUACAGGAUGAGACAGCUUUGCGGUUGGUCGAAGCAUCUUUGCGGACACAAGAGUACCGUCCCAUAAAUAUUUUUGUUAAUUUUUAUUCAGGUGAGGGUUUCUUAGAAACAUAAAUUUCCAUAUCAGUGUAGAAAUAUGUAUUCUGCAAAUACACCGCAUUUUUGGUGACUAGUCCUUUUUGGAUUUUAUUGAUAGCUUGAGUAGGCUUCAGGGCUUGUUGGGGGAUUAUUAGUUUGUUUUGUUCCUUGGUUUUUUGGGUCUAUUGUGCUUCUUGUAUACUUCCCCAAUACCAAGGUUCUCCCCCUCUUUGUGCUAGGUGCCUGUUAAUAUUAUCUUAUUCUCCUAUAAAGAUUUUAAGCCAUGUGGUGAAUUACAGAAAAGGCCCAACCUAGGUUCUGAUUAAUCACAGUGCCUAUGUACAUUAUUCUUGUGUUUUAUAUUUUUGCAGCUUAUGGUGUCAAGUUCUUUAGAUGUGCUUUUAUUUUUAAUUUGGUACUAAUCCCAUAAUAUAUGUCACAGUUGCAGUCAAACUUCUUUAUGACUGGUUUCUCAGUUUGUGAUUUUCCUUUUCAGAUCCUGAAUACAAAUUUAAGGUCCCUAGGACAAAUUUUUUCCCCCAACCUAAUGUAAGUGAUUGAUUUUUACACUUAGACAUGGGCUUUGCAGUAUUGAAUUUGCAUUUUGCUAUUGACUUCACACGAGCUUUCUAUUUUUACAAUGAAAUGAAGAUGGCAAUUGUGAUAGUGAACUUUCUUUUCAUGCAUAAUUUGGCGUUAAAAACUCUGUACUAAGAGACUAGAAUGGCAUCCAUGUUCUACUCAAAGACAAAUAUAAAGCUUUCUUCCAAUGCUCAAAGGAAUGGAGAUGGAGCUAAUCCUUUAUAUGCUUCUGUAGGUUGAUGCAGCUGUUGUUGUAUUCAAGCUGAAGCAAGCGGUGGACUAUCCACCGGUUUCCUCCAUUAAAAGUUUCUUCUCACUGGUAGUUGAGAUUUCUAAUGCUUGCUUUACUAUACCUUGUCCAGACUGUUAUCAUUUUUUAUUGGAAAUUUAUGUUUUCUACAUAGCUUCUUGCUUGUGUAAAUAUGACGCAUUUGUGCAUUGUGUCUUAAGAGAGAAUCCCACCUUUCAAUGUAAAUUCAUUUAACUGCAUUAGUUUUUUUUCAUGAAAGAAUGCUGCAAAGCAGAAUCUCCAUUACAUUGAUUCUGAAUCAAUUUUUUUUUUUUUUUUAUCCUUUCAUUUUUGCUUCUUUUUUUCACCUGUAACAAGCCUUGGCCAAUGGAUUCAGGUUAAUUCAGCAUUCAAUGGAAAACGAAAGAUGUUGCGGAGAUCACUUCAGCACAUAUGCACAUCCAUUGAGAUUGAAGAGGCUCUCAGAAAUGUUGGCCUUCCAGCUACAGUAAGUAUGCAUAUCCAAUUAUUUGGUACUCCAUUGCCGUAUUUCCUGGGUUUUACCAACUCUUGUUGAUCUCAUGCAGUCUAGACCCGAAGAGCUUACCUUAGAUGAUUUCGUGAGGUUGCAUAAUUUAAUUGUAAAAACCUAGUCCUUCCAACCUCCUCCUCAGAAGGCCAACUUCAUGCUUACUCCCAGAACACCAUCUCAGUCCCUGAUCUUCAUCACUUAUGAUUCAGACCAGGAACUCAACAAAGAAAAGAAAUCCUACAAUCUCCAGAUGGGAAAAACCCCAAGUGAAGUGAAUUAUCCUCUGGAAGCAGAAACAACAUUUGGGGUGUCACUGCCAUGUUCAACCAGUUGGAAUGACUAAAGAAACUAUUAAGGAUAAGUUAUUGUAAUAUUAAUUACAGACUGGAAUCAACCCAAUUUGGGUUAAUGAAUUCAUUGAUGUUCUUAUUCAAUCCAGGUAUUCUACAACCAACAAAACACAGCUUGAACUCAAUUAUUUCAAUAAUCAUUCUCAAUUCGUUUGUACUAACAAUGUAAGUAUCAAAAACUCCCCUGUUUUGCUCUGUUUUUGUCCUCUGUUUUCAUUCUCUCAAGUCUCAACCGUGAAACUGAUACACAAGAUCCAGAGCCUUCAACCUUGAUUCCCUGGCGUCGAACCCGGCAACCUCUGCCGCAUACUUCCUGGGCUCUGCCACAGAUGAUGGCGACAGCGGUCUCUUCCGUCUCUUGUUUUGAAUAUAACAAUCCCUCAUUCGCUCCUCAACUUUGUCAAUUGGGUCCUUUGAAGUCACCUCUGUUUCGUCUUCCCAUUCAUCACCCACCUGCAUCGGCUCCGGCGGCGGCGGCGGCGGUGGCUGGGAGGGGAGGGAGAGGAAGGAGGAAAGGCGUUGGUGGGCGUGGUGGAGGGAGGAGUAGAUGUGAUGGAGGUGGGUGGGGUCUGCGGUGGUGGGGAGUUGCUUUGCCAUUAGGGUUGCUUGCUCUAGUGCUUGUACAAGCUCUGUUAAUGGCUCAGCCUCGGCCAUUAUUUCUCUUUCUCUCUCUCUCUCUCCCUCCCUCCCUACAAAGCAUAUGUAUGUGUAAAAACCCUUUGGUUUCUCUCUCUCUAGAAUCUUUGUAUCUGUUUCUAGGUUUUCUGAUACUAGGCAGAGUAGCUGAAUUGGCAGCGGCUACCCCUACAUGGUCACCCUCAUGUGGGCCUGGUCCCUUCUUUUUCCAUUUUUAUUUUCUCGGGAAAAUGGCAAGGAAAGUUAUAUCCAUAGUACUUCUACUUCAAUGGUGUUUGUUGCCCAUUACAUAAAAAACAUCUUCCAAAUAUCUUGGGGAUAAUAAAUCCUGAGACAAUUCCAUUUUUUCUAUCCUAAUUUUACCCAAUAAUUUAGAUUUUAUCAUUCUUUUUUUCGGGUGCCUUAAACUUUUCCUUCAAUUAUUUUAAGUCAAAUUUCUGGAAAAAUAUUUAUAAAAAAAAAAAAAAGAAACCCAAAUCUUGGAAUGAAAAUAGUCAUGAAGGUGCAACCAAAAAAAUGAAAAUUGCCAUGAUAGCAGAAUUUACAGAGCUUGUAGAAGCAGCAAAGUGUAUAAAUUCGAAGGAAAAGAAUACAGGCGAGAAGCAGAGAGAUGAAUUAGGAGGGGAGAAGAGGUAAGAGGCUUAGAUGUUGAAGAUCCGGAGAUAAUCAUCAAUUAUGGACAUGGCAGAAGACCUGUAGCCUGAUCCAAAUAGAUUAUAAUGGUUCAAGUAAUGAUACAACAUGUACACAUCUCUCCUCUUCUCGAACCCUGCUUGUUUUGGCAUCACCUACAUUAUAAAAUUUCAUAACAAAUUACUCCCAAAAGAAACCAUCUAACAAUCCCACAAUCGACAGGUUGGUUUGGAGUUUGGAUUAGCAAUAGAUGACUUUCUUUUCAUCUUUCUAACUUAUGAUUGUUUAGAUAUCAUGACCAUACCUCAAAAUAAGCAUUGUAGAAAGAUCCUCCAAAGCCAGCACACCAUGACAUUCCGAAUUCUGCCUCAUUAUGUCCAUCUAAUUCAAGAAAAGGGCAACGGAAAAUCAGCACACAACUAUGAAAAUUGCAACAUUUUUCUCUCCGAUUUCGUCAUGUUGAAUUUUUCCAUCAAUAUUUCCAUCAUCAAGUUCUGGGUUAUGCAUAGGAGUGGUAAUUCAAAUUGGUUGGUCUGUCAGUCGUAUGACUCACUUGAUCUAUUUUUUCAAGAUCAAAUUUUAAAUAAGUCGUUGGUCUGUCAGUCGUAUGACUCACUUGAUCUAUUUUUUCAAGAUCAAAUUUUAAAUAAGUCGAAUGCGAGUUAAAUAGGUUAUGACUAUAAUAAUCAUCAUGAUUAUUAAGUAGGUUAAUUUAGGUCAAAUUCGUGUUAUGCACCCAAAACUAACUUUUUAUCAAACGGGUUAUGCAGGUUGAUACAAAUUUAACCUAAACACGAUACUACGAAAAAUGUAUCAAGGUCGAGUUAUGUUGGUGAAUCGUAUCAAGCUUUGCCACCUUUAGCCAUGCAGUUGCUAACUUAACAUGGAUGAACUUAAUAGCUAAAAGAAAAUUUGAGUAUUCUAAAUAUAAAUCAUCUGGGCACAAAAUGAUAGAGCAAAUCCCAACCAACUUGGACUUACAGUAACAUGCUGGGUCAAGUAUAACAGGCUCUCCAUUCUUGUCAGAGCUGAUAUUACCACUCCAUAAGUCUCCAUGAAGCAAGCAAGGUUCUAUCUCCACAUUUUCAAAAAGCCGCCCCAGAUUCUUCAUCAGUUUUUCUCCUGUUGAGCAAAGCGAUCCAGGGAUCAAAUACGGUGCCUAGUUAAUAAAUUUAAAUACAAAUCCUUAAUUUGUAUUUUAAAAAUCACAUAACCAUUGCAUUCAGACAUAAUAUCUUAAUAUUACUGAUAGCUUAUUAGGAAGAUGCCCUUUUAAUUAAAUAGCCCAAAAAAGUCGGUCUCGUGACUAUUUUAGACUCCUCAUGAUUAACACUUAAUAGUCCAUAUGAUUCCAAGAAGGCAGACAAAAAGAGAAGUAAAAUGGAAUCCUACAAACAUUUGGUUUUGGUAUGCACUUCUCUUAAUAAGAGUUCUACAAAACGAUAAAAGCAAAGACGAGAGGUAGUCAUUUUAUAGAUUUAUCAAUCAGGCAAUGAAGCAUGUAAUGCUCCUUUCAGUCACUAUGCCAAUCAAAAUGAGAAUUGUGCCUUGAUCAAGUACAUAUGCAGAACUCCAAACACGAAAUCUAGUUUGAUAUUAUUCAUUUAUAACAAAAACAUUUUCCAGGUCAAUUUAAUCAGUUUGAUAAUUUUUGUAGAAUAAGAUGAAAGAAGAAGGAAAACCAUGAGCUAAAUGAUUUGAAAAUAAAAUUAUUAUUAAAAAGACGAACCUUUUGCAUAGAUGGUCGAAUCUCCAUACUGGUCUAAUGCCAAUUUCAGCUGAUAACCCAAUCUAUGCUCUGCAUAAAACUUGACCCAAUCUGAUGUCCAAGUGUUUAUCUGAGGAGUGCUGCAAAGCAAGACAUAAAGAAAAUUUUCUCAAUGAACUUACUGCCUUUCCACAGAGACAAAGAGUGGGAUGACGACAACGAUGAUUUAAAGAUGAUACCUGCCUAUGGUAUUAUCAACAUCAAACCCAAAUCCUUUUUCAGAUUUUCCAGCUUUAUGCAUUUCAGCAAGCUUCCUCCCUAAAACAGCCUGAUAACCAAUAACAGUUAUAGCAAAUUGUUAUCACCAUAAUAAUGUCAAGAAAAUUUGUCGAACCUCACCUGAUCGCCUCUAGAUCUACCAAAUUCAAUAAAUUCCAUAAUGAUGUAAGAGCCACCGGUUGGUAGUGGUCCAACCUGCAAGGAGUAGCAACUAGUCCACUUACAUUUUUCUGUCAGCUAUGUAGAUAUAUCAGGAUGAAUAGAUCUAGUGACCCCCAAACUUCUCACCUUAAAUGGCCUUGGUACACGGAUUGAUUUGGUCUCAUACAUAGCACCAAGACCAAGAGCCUCCCCCUCAAACAUUGAUGGCCCGAUACUCCUGUGGUUCAAUGGUAUGAAAUCUCAAAUCAGUUAAAAUAGCACUUGUACCAGUAAAUCCCCAGAAAGCAGAACGGACUUUUGUACGUGUUAGGAUAACCAAAUACCUGUUUGUUUUAACGAAGAAAGAACCAGCAUCAGUGUCAUAACGACUAGCAAGAUUAAUGCAACCACCACCAACAGGACUAAUCCUUGUAAUCUGAGUUGCCUUUCCUUCUGAUAGAAUCCAUUCACGGAUUGGAUCUUCACCCAAUGCUGCCACUGCCAAUAUACCAAAAUUAUAUAAAUAUAUUGACAAAAUUCAAAUAGAAGUUCCUUCAAUCAAAAUGUAAAGCACAAAAAUACAGCUAAAAACCCAUAUGAUGAACAAAAUCUAGGUAUCAAAAUUCCUGAAACCUGACAGAUCAGCUUAAUUCCAGUUCAACUUCAUGAGAGUCCCAACAGGAGUUUCUAGAACAGAAUGCAAAGCUCACUAACCAAAUUAAUGACUCGACAUUGCCUAACAGCCAUGAACCAGGUCCCACCAUCAAUCAGUAAAUGGAAAGAUUCAAAAAGCUCAUUCAAGCACUGGAUCAAUGAUGAGUAAUUGAACCUACUAAAGCUCAAAUUAAGCUACUAUAGAAAGUGAUUUCUAAGGGAUAGACAUCACAAAAGUGCACAAUGCCAUCAAAUAAAAAAAGGGUAACCUCUCAUGUCAUCAUGCUCCCUUAUGGUUCAAUCUAAGUUACAAAAGAGUGAUUUCACAUGCCCUAUAAAAAGAGAACAUCAAAUUGGACAAUGGAUAAUUUCCUCCAUAACAGCUCAAACCCUAUAAAAUAAUGAACCCACAUGCAGCUUGACAUCAGAGAGGCUCAUAAGAAUAUCAAACAAAAGGGGGCAAUCUUUUCAACCCAUGAUUAGGUUCCAUUACAGCUGAACCAAGAUAUAAAGGAGUGAUUACACAUACAAAUAGACAUCAAAGAAGCUAAGAAAAACAUCUGAUGGGGUAAUCCCCUAAACCCCUUUAUCACUCAUACCACAUCUAAAUUCAGUGUCUGAAAACCUCAAUUCAAGGAACUGCGAAUAUCCAUCAUAUACUCACUGACAAACGGCUUGGUUUUGGGGAAGGACAAUGAAGGAAACCAAGGCAGAGAAGGGAAGCAACAGCCGGAGGAGACGAGACCCACGUGUGCAGCCACCAUUAUCCUUCUCCACCUUUUCUUUGCCCCCCACAGAGACCACACCGCCUCCCUGGCUCGCCUCUGUCGUGGCGACUAUCUACUGGUUUCCAUUUCUUUACCCAACAUUCUCUUUUUUCCUCAUUUGAUUCCAAAGCUAAAAAUUAUUUUAAAAUUUUAAGAAAAUAAAUAAUUUAAAAAAUAAAAUAAAUUCAUAUUUUGGUGCAUAAAAAUAAUUAUUAAUGUUUUUCUAAUUUGAAUUUGGGAGAAUUACCCUUAAGGGUAGGCUGGAGGAAAAAAUGACCAGGGUGGGUAAAUUUGAUAAUUAUUGUAAAGGGUAAGGUAAAAUUAUGAUAAUUCCUCCAAAUGCCUUAUUUUGUUUAAAUGUCAAUACUACCCUUAAUAAGUGAAAAGCAACAGAAAAUAAAAAAGAGUUUAUUCUCCAUUUCUUUAACCUACCUGGAGCCGAGUUGUAGAAGAAAAAGAGGAAAGGAAAAAGGUGCGCACUUCAGGUCAUUCUCUGCAACCGAUACACAAAACUUGUUUUUUUUUUUGUGAAUCUAGCAAGAAAUCCAUUAAAGGUCAGUUUUUUUUUUUUUAAUACAAAAAAAAACGUCAGUUUAUGGAAAAAUAAAUAAAUAAUUUAAAAAUCGGAUUGAAUGAAGGAAAAGUUAAUAAUUUUAACAAUGUAGUUGUAAGAUAUUAGAUCUGAAAUAUUGAAUGAGGUUUUGAGAAAGAAAUUACAUUUUUUUUUAAAUGUUUUUUAAAUUUAUUAUUUUGAAUUUUUUUAUAUUAUUUAGGUCAUAUUGAAGAUGUGUUUUUAUUUUUAAUUUAUUUUCUGGGUGGGUUGUUUGAUAUGAUUAUUAUUGAUUUCCAUUGAAAAGGUUUGCAUUUUAGUUUUGUUGUUAAGACUUUUUGACAUGAUUGAAGAAAAAAUGUUCUCAGUUGUUUCAUGCUUGUUUGGGACCACUUUGUUUGUGUAUUUAUAAACAUAUUUAGAUUGUCAUUGAAAACUGAAAUCCCCUUUGUACGAGACCACUUUGUCUUUUAUUAUGAAUUUGUUAAAGAGUUAAGAUCACUAUAUUUUUGUUAUAAAUUUGUUACCUUUUUGUAUAAGUAUUAUUUUGGUAUGAUGAGUCGAAUGCCUAGUAAUUUGAAGGUUGUGUAAAAAAACCAUUAUUUCAGUUAUAAAGUAUAAGUACAAUACAAAUGCAAUAUAGUUACAAUGAAAAAAUAUUAACAUUAUGAUACAUUACAAUAUACCAAAAUGACAAAAUAUUGAAUUAUUUUUUACUGAAUUGGCAUUUCUAGGCUAUCAUGUUGUAUUCCUAUCAUAAAGCAUCCUUGCAAGCCAAAAUUAUAAAAAAAAACAACAACAAAAAUACACUAUUGUAAUUUCAAUACAUGAAGUUGUUGAUGAUAAUCCAAUGAUGGAUAAAAAAAAAUCUAUAAAAUUAAAUUUUUUUAUAUAAAAAUAUAGAGGUAUAAUAAAAAUACAGUACAAUUACAAUACAAAUACAAUAACAUUACAAUACAUUACGAUAAGGUAAAAUUUUGAAAAUGUCAAAUUUCUUAUGAAACUGGGCAAUUAUGGGUUCUUUGGCAUCCCUAACAUGUAUAAUAUACAACAAAUAUUGUUAUUUAUUAUAUAAAAUAUGUCUCAAUUGAUUAUAAUUUUCAUUUGUUUAUUUUGUAUUCGUUGUAAAAUUUUCAUUGAUUGUAAUAUUGUGAAAUAGUUGUUGAUGAUAAUCCAAUGAUGGAUAAAAAAAAUCUAUAAAAUUAAUUUUUUUAUAUAAAAAUAUAGAGGUAUAAUAAAAAUACAGUACAAUUACAAUACAAAUACAAUAACAUUGCGAUACAUUACGAUAAGGUAAAAUUUUGAAAAUGUCAAAUUUCUUAUGAAACUGGGCAAUUAUGGGUUCUUUGGUAUAUCCCUAACAUGUAUAAUAUACAACAAAUAUUGUUAUUUAUUAUAUAAAAUAUGUCUCUCAAUUGAUUAUAAUUUUCAUUUGUUUAUUUUGUAUUCGUUGUAAAAUUUUCAUUGAUUGUAAUAUUGUGAAAUAGUUGUUGAUGAUAAUCCAAUGAUGGAUAAAAAAAAAAAAUCUAUAAAAUUAAUUUUUUUAUAUAAAAAUAUAGAGGUAUAAUAAAAAUACAUUACAAUUACAAUACAAAUACAAUAACAUUACGAUACAUUACGAUAAGGUAAAAUUUUGAAAAUGUCAAAUUUCUUAUGAAACUAGGCAAUUAUGGGUUCUUUGGCAUAUCCCUAACAUGUAUAAUAUACAACAAAUAUUGUUAUUUAUUAUAUAAAAUAUGUCUCUCAAUUGAUUAUAAUUUUCAUUUGUUUAUUUUGUAUUCGUUGUAAAAUUUUCAUUGAUUGUAAUAUUGUGAAAUAGAUUGAUUUGAUUGUCGAUGAAAGAAGACGUACUUCUGAAUUGGUAAAUGGACUUGGAAAAUUCCAUUUAUGGCUACCUUCAUGAAGGAGGGGAGAUUGUACCUAAGGAGGAUAAACAAAUACAAUACAAGGGUGGACAACAAAAAGGCAUGUACAUUGGACAAAGGAUGUCAUAUGCUGAAUUUGUUUCAAAGGCAUGUGAACGGUUGGAUAUUAAUUCAAAUGGAUAUACAUUUCAUUACACCCUUGAGUUUGAUCCAUCUGCACUUCAACAGUUGGAUGAUGAUGAGGACAUGCAUAUGAUGUUAUCCCAUAGUUAUGAUUAUGCUCGUAUUUAUGUAUUAAAACGGACUCGAAGAGUAGAAGUUGAAGGAGGUAUAGUCAAUGUGCAAAAUGAUUAUUGGUAAGUGAUAUAUCUUGUAUUAGUUGUCAUUAAUUCCAUGAUGCAAAGUGCUUUUAAUAUUAAUUAACUGAGUGUGCUAUAAUAUGCAGUCACAAUAGUACGGAGGAAAUACACAAUUCAGUUGCAUCAUGUCAAGUAAACAAUGAGUCUAAUUUAGGACUUUCUCAAGGCUUCAUGUCCAGAUGUGCAGAAACUGAAGUUAUACCACAUGAUUUAAGUCUUUGUCCUCAACCUAUUAUUGGGAGUGGGCAUAGUUUUCCUAAUGCAGAUGAAUUUAGAAAUGCAUUAUAUACGAUGUCAUUAGUUGGUAGAUUUCAAUACAAAUUCAAAAAGAACUCUCCAAAGCGAAUAUAUGUGUGUUGUUUAGUGGAUGGGUGCCCUUGGAGAAUAACUGCUAAUUCAGUAGGCACAACCAAAAUUUUGAAGGUUAACAUCUUCAUUGAUGUACACAAUCAUUGUGCAAAUGUUGAGUGUUCAAGCCAACCUUCAAUGCGGGGAAGGAGAGGUGCUCGUGUCAUAGAGCAAGUAAUAAGGGCAACCCCUCAGUAUUUGCCCCGUCAAAUUUGCAAAGACUUCAGGAGUCGGUAUGGUGUUUCAUUGAGUUAUAAGCAAGCUUGGACAUACAAAGAAAUGGCAAAAGAGAGAAUAUAUGGUCUUCCAGAAAACUCAUAUAUGUUGUUGCCAUGGUUAUGUCAGAGAUUGGUAGACAUUAAUCCAGGGACGAUUGCUGAAUAUAGCACACAAGAUGGGCAUUUUUGGCAAUUGUUCAUUGCACAUUCUUUUUCAAUUCAAGGGUUUUUAAUGGGUUGUCGACCUGUUAUUGCAAUUGACUCAACUCAUUUGAGUGGACCGUAUAGGGGCUCUUUAUUUUCUACAACAGCUUAUGAUGCUGAUGAUGGCAUGUUCCCAAUUGCAUUUGGUGUUGUAAGUUCAGAAAACUAUGAGGAUUGGCUAUGGUUUUUGCAGAAAUUGAAGGGCAUACUUCAAGAUAAAGAGGUAGUCAUAAUAUCAGAUAGGCAUCAAGCAAUCCUUCGUAGUGUUUCUCAACUUUUUGGAGUAGAAAAUCAUGCAUAUUGUUAUCGUCAUGUGAAAGAAAAUUUUAGUAGCUAUGUGACGAAACAUAGUAUGAAGGGAAAAAAAUGUAAAAUGGAUGCAUUUUUGCUACUUGAUAAUGUUGCGUAUGCUAGGUUGGAUGAUGAUUAUGUUGUAGCCAUGGAAAAAUUAAAGACAUAUAACAGUGACCUAGCGAAGUGGGUUGAAGAGAACAGUCCACAACAUUGGGCAAUGUCAAAGUUUGCCAAAAAACGAUGGGAUAAGAUGACAACUAAUCUUGCUGAAUCAUUCAAUGCUUGGCUGAAGGAGGAACGUCAUUACACAAUUUUCAACUUAGUAAUGACACAUAUGGAUAAGUUUGCUCAUCUAGCAUGUGAUCAUAUGGGUUCUAUAGAAAAUUGGAAAGCUGCAAUUGGCCCAAAGACCGAGGAAAAGUUGUUGGAAAACAUUAUAAAGAGUGGGUCAUUGCCUGUAUAUCCCUAUGUUGGUGGUGUGUUUAAGGUAUUCAAUAUGAAAGUAUAUGUAGACGUGAAUUUGAGAGAGCGUACAUGUACUUGUAAGGCUUGGCAAAUGGCCGGAAUACCUUGUGAGCAUGCAUGUGCAGCAAUACGCCAGAUGAAACAAGAUGUUUAUGAAUAUGUUGACUCAUAUUUCAAGCUUCCAAUGCAAGAGUUGAUAUAUUCUGGACACUUCAAUUCAAUUCCAAAUCACAACAUGCCUAUAGUUGAUGUUGAUGGAUGUGUUCGUGAUGCUCAAGGUCGCUUAUAUCCUUCACUUAAACCUCCAUGCUCAAAACGACCACCUGGAAGGCCUCGACACCGUCGAAUAGAGUCUCAAUUUAGUUCAAAAAGGCUUAUCUUCUGUUCACGAUGUCAAGUUGCAGGCCAUAAUCGAGCUUCAUGCAAAAAUCCAUUACCCGCUCCAUGAUUCUAGUGUUAUGCUUGUUUGGUGACAUGCUACUUUUUAUCUUAUUUUGAUUGUGAUGAUAUGUGUGGUUUAUGAAAUUAGAAUCUGUAAGAAUUUGUUUUGGAACUUACUUAUUUACUUGAUUGUCAUGACAAAGAUGUUUGUAUUACAUAUGCCACUAUUUUAGACUUAUGAUCUUAUCAUUAUUUAGGGUGGUUUGUAACCAUGUUUUUAAUGUUAUUUUGAAGAUCAUUAUUGACUUUGUACAUGUUCAUUACAUUUGUUUAACUUGUUUUCCAUUGAAAUACAGGUUACAUCAUGGCAUCUUCAAGUGCUUCAUUAACAGGUGUGGCUCCCAACUACAUCUAAAAAUUAAGAGAACCAUACUUCUUCACGAAUCAUUUGUACAGUAGGCACGCUCCUCCUUAGAAUUCCACCACCCUAAAUGAAAAGCAUAAAAACUGACGUUAGAUUAACUUGAACGGAAAUAUCUGAUUUGUUUAUGCAAUAAAACACAUUUACGAAUACAACAUUUUACCAUAAACAUGCAAGUCUUCUCUAAUUUUUUGUUUCAUAUUUGUUCCUUAUUAAGGUUCCAUUCUUCACCAAAAAGAUAAAAAAUGAUUAAGACAACAAACAAAGCAGAUGUACAUAAAGACACGUGUGUGCAUAUCACUGAAUGCACAUACUUGAAGAAUGCAACAUUGCAAACACAUAUCAGCACAACUAGUUGCUCUCAAGAGGCUUUAUGCCAUUGUGUAAGAUUCUGGUGCAGAUAUCAGCCAAGUUACACCCCUCAAUAGGCUUUGAGAAAAGCCUUGUUAUUUUUAUUUUCAUGUUCCCAGGGCAGCUUUUCCAUUUAUGAAUGGGGUUCCAUCACAUGUGAUUUUUCUUCAUGAGGAGCUUCUAGGCCGUCAGUUAAGAAGUGAUCCUUACUUCAUUCUUGCUUAAAUAGUAGGCAGUCAUAUUUUGAGUUAGAAUUUUAAUAUUUUUUCUCAAAGAACCUUGCCACUGACAAGAAUAGGGCAACAAAUUCUAAUCACUAAAAUUUGCACACAAAAAGGUCCUUUGGUCAAACUAAGCCUUGCCCUAGGUAGUAGAUUGGUGCAACCAAAGCAAGUAACAAUAAAAUAAAAAGGUAUGAUCUCUCAGAUAUUUUAUGUUGAUAGAGAAAUACCAUCCAAAAAUUACAUGUAGCAUAAAAUGAAGUUGCAGAACCUACCAGACCAUACUGAAAAAUCCGUUUCAAUGCUUCUUCCAGAUGUUGUUCAUCCCCAUAACGAUAUCUUAUAACAUCAUUCCUGACCUAGUUAAAGUAACCAAAGUAAUAAAAAAAUUGUUCAUAAAACAAUAAAGUAUAUUGUUCACACAUUGAAAUAAUUGAGGCAAAAAUCAGCUACAUAAGAAUAUGCAUUUACAUGUAGAUAAUAUUGACAAGAAUAUUGUCCAUCUCAUGAGGGCAGUCAGUACACAAUGGAUCUAUUUAAGCUGGAUCAUAUAACAAAACAUCUUAUGUUCAUCCUCUAGUAACUCUAUAUACAGAUUAAAACUGCAGCAGCACAUAUACCAUACAAUAAUUACUGGCAGUGGGGCUUCUCCACUUGCCAUGCAGUGUUAUCAGGAUAAUAAGGAAUUUCUUAGCCCUGUAUAACCUGCAAGAACUUACUCCAUAGUUUCCAUUAGUCAACCCAAAAAGGGUUUCACAUAUUACAUGCCUAAACUGGAAUAUAAUUUAAAUAUUAGUGAUAUCAUAGCUAAUAUAACAGGGAAGGUAAUUGUAAAAGUUAUUCUGAAACAUUCUCUACCCCAAAAUAACCUAAUCAUAUCUCCUAGAUUUUACAAGGAUAAGGUGUACCACAGUUCACUAUGUUACAUGACCACUCUCCUCAACAAGCAGUGGCCUAAUUUGAGAGACUACAGAAUCAGGGGUACUGCAAGGCCUUUCAUUGUCAGUUGGUGAGGACCAAGAACCCUUUAUUGCCAGUUCACCCUUUUCCUUUUUUCUUUUCAUUUUUGUUAUUUUAGUAACCUGUCACAGAACCUCAAUAUAUGAAAUAUUGACAAAUUUGCAUAUUGAAUAAUGCUCAAAAAGGGUUUGUGAAAAAAAUUGAUGAGACAGGGCUUUGUUAAGCCAAGUCAAGUUGUACAUAUUUUAUACAUCUCCACUUUUGCCUUCUGUAUUACAAAAUAUAAUAUGGUCAGCCCAACAACUGAAUUUUUCAUCAGUUUCCUUGAGUAGAUACCAUGAAACAAAGGGGUAGCAUAUAGAAAUUAUCAUCAUAUUUAUAAAAACAAUACUAGCGAAGAUUGCUAAAUGAAAGUGCAAGGAUAUUCUUGAUGACAAAAGAAAAUAAAAAAGGGACUGAUGUGCAGUUCUUAAAGAAUAAAAAUUUCAUUCCAUGCAUAGAGAUCCAAUCCUGCUAAGAUGCUAUCAAAUGUUCUUGGCUUGAAAGAGCACUUAAAUAGAAGGAGUUUAAUACAAAAGGAAUGACCCCAAAAUGUUUUAAAAAGAAUAGUUCUCGAGAGAAAAAAACAAAAUUUUAUGAGAUUCUGUAAUGAAAGAAAACUUACCAGGAGACUUUGUAAUAAAAAGAAUCUAUAAUAGAUAAAAAUUUCUUCAAACACAUGAAAAUUCAACCCUUUCUAGGAUGAUGUCAAAUUUUCUUGGGUCAAAAAAGAGGAUUAGAGGAUUUAUGCUGAAGGAGUUCACUUACCAAAAGCAACCAACAGAAUGAUUACAUAAAUCAGUUUCAUAAGAGAAGAUAUCUGAGAUUUUAUACAGUGAAAGGAGUUUUCAAGGGAAACAACCAGUUGAUUUAAAAGUAAAUAAAUUUCAUGAAUGAAAUUACUAUCUGAGAUUUUCAAUGAGAGAAAAUGAGUCAAUUCCAAGAACAUUACCUGUCUAAGAAUUGGGGUGGCACUUGUUUCUCUUAACUUUUGAGCAUCUGAGUAAGUCAAGCAUGGAACUAGUUUCAGUUCUGCAUACUGCAAAACAGUAAAAGGGCUAUGCCAUCAUGCAUGUGGAAAAAAAAAAAAGCAUAAUUUGAUUUCCAUCACCAUUAAACUAAAGAACUCAGUGGUGUACCACUUUUACGACAGAAGAUCUAACACCAACCUGGAAAGGAAAGCCAGUGAACUACAUGGAAUGCAGGCCAAAUGGGAAAACAAAAAGAAGAAAAAAGUUAAGUCUCCAAAUGGAGAAAAUAGCUUAAACAGCAUGACAGGUGGUUAGAUCAACGCAACUGGUGAAAAUUGAGAUUUUAAAAAUACAAUAUGUCAUCUGGUUGGAAUAAUAAAUUCAAUGCAAAUGAAGAAAAUGCAUCUCAUGAGGAUAAUGGAUCCAGUUGGAGCAAAAAAUGGGGUGGUGGUAAAGCGACUAGUGAAAGUGGGGAAAAACAUAGCAAAUCCAGUGAUUGGAGUAAUCCAAAUGCUUCCAACAAGGAUAUGUCAUCUGGUUGGAAUAAUAAAUUCAAUGCAAAUGAAGAAACUGGUGGGACUGGAGAUCAUGAUGGUGGUUGGAAUAAAAGAAAAGCUCCUGGUGAACAUCAAAAAACACCAUGGAAAACUAAUGAGAGUAAUUUGGAUGGAAACCCCUCCUCUGGUUUUCAGGGCCAAGAUGGUUGGGGUACUCCAAAACCUCCACAAGAUAAAUCCUCUAGUUGGAAUCAUAAAUCCAUUGAUAAUGAAAAAGAUGGUGAUGGUAAAGAUCAAGGAGAUAGCAAUGCUCCCUAGAGGGAAGAUAACAAAAGAAAGUUUGAAGCGCUGCCCCAUUGUGUAUUUUGUGGACUUUGUGGAAAGAGAAAAACUGAAGAGCAUUUGAAAAUACAAAACAAUUGGUUCACUUUUUGAAGAGUUCAUUUGUGAUUAAUCUAUUGUCUUGGGGUUAGGAUGUACAUAGCAUAAGGAAUUCUGUCCUCAUUCGAGUUUGUAGAUUGGCUAGGUCUAAUUAAGGGAGGGAGCAUUAUUUUCCCUUGUUUUGGCUAUGCCUUUUGCUUUGUGUAUAGCCCUUUUCAUUAAUAAAUUCUGUCUUUUGCUUACUUAUCAAAAAGCCAAAAUAAGCAAAAUCAGAUUCAACAUGAACCAUCUACUCAGAAGCUACAAUCUAUGACACUACAACAACCAUAAAACAAGAAAUAUUUACAGAUUACAAUAUAAACUAACUUUGUCAUCGAUAUUAUAUAACAUGUAUAGCCUCAAUUUCCAGACAUCUUCCAUACAGUCCAGAGAAAAUCAAGAAGAAAUUUACAGCUAGCUUUGGAAAUUCUGGACCAAUAUUUUCCUGCUAAUACAAGAGUAUAAUUUAGCAUAAUCACAGUCAAAAUAACAUUUGCAUGCUCAAUGAUGCACCAUACAAGAAGCAUAUAAAACAUCUCCAUACAUGUUUUAACCAGACCAGAAGCAUGAAGAAUAGGAAGAAAUUAAGAGCCAAUAUUUCCAAUUCCAACAUGAAUAUGAUGAUAAAUAAAUACCCACAUUCCUCUGAGCUAAAUUCACAGGCAUGAGAGUAUCCAUCCAUUGCAGCACUAUCGAAACAAUACAUCAAAAAACAAACGUUUGAAUAUAGCUCACCUGCAUAGGAAAAAACUGGUCUGAUUUGAAGAGCUAAGAUUCCAAAUUCAAAGCUAUUAUGACAAUUAAUUAACGCCCACAUUCCUUUAGGCCAUUAAAAUCGAAACCCUAGAAUUCCUUGCAUGUUAUGAUGUUAACCAAGAAAUGCAUCAUACGACAAACACACAUCAAUAUUUCACUGUAUUUUUUCACACACACGUAAAGAAGCCAAGCCAAAAACCAGACCUAAUCUUUCAAAUUUUAGCAUGAUUAUGACUAUUAAUCAACACCCACGUUUUAUCAUUACAACAAAGCCACAACUCGAUAAAUUAUUUCAAAAAAAAUGCACUAUAAACACACAUGAAUCUGACAUUUGAAUGCAUUUUCCCCUAAAAAAAACCAAGCAAAAAUUGACAGCCAGCAUUUGAAAUUCAACUUAUUAGGCUAAUUAAUCAAUGCCCGUAUAAAGAAAUUAUGUAAAUAGAACAAACAAGGAUAUAUUAAGAAUUAGCAAGGAUGCAUCAUACGACAAACAGUCAAUAGCUGGUGCCCAAGCUGAGGCCUGGGAUAAACAAGGAUCAGGUUGGAAUAGAGGAACAAGUACAGGAAGUGGAAGCAUGACAAGAGAUGGGGCUGAAACUUGGAAUCAAUCGAAGGCCCCUGAUGGAGCUCAAUCAUCUGCUUGGAAUCAAACAAAAAAUUCAAAAGAAGGAACUAACAAUUUUAAGGAAGCGACUGAUUCAUGGGGUAAAGCUGCAGCAAAUUCUUGGGGCAAAAAACGUGAUCUCACACAAAAACCCAAAUACCCGAUACCCACAUUCUUUGUAAUCUCAAACAAAAUCAGUAGCCUAGAAAUCUUUUCUCAAAAAUGAACUCAAACAAAAAAACACCCAAACAACUCCUCUAACAGAGCCUUGAAACUCAAUAUUCUAAGACGCCAAUUUCUUUUCUUUCCUUACCUUUUUCCCACCACCCAAGCAAAGCACAAAACCACUCUCAGCCAAAGAAAAGCCUUGCAAUCGCCCACCGUUUGGUUCCUGAGAAAACGAAAAGCAAAACAAAAGAAAAACAGACCCAAACCCCAAGUUUAUUUCUUUUUUUCCCAAAUUUUCUCAGCAACCAAACAGACCCAAACCCAAAACACUUAGGGCAAAGCAUGAAAUAAGCAGAAUUUGGAAGGCUUUGUGAGGCCUUUACCUUGGACUAGUGGGGCUUUUGUGCAGAUCCAGCCUCUGGAAGGUUCUUCACCUCAGGCAGCGGCCUUCGAGACCAAUCCGGAUUUUCUGUUUGGGUUGGAUAAAGGGCUCGCUCCGCCUCCCCCUGUGAAAUUGCAGGAUCCAACGCCUCCACCCACGGUUCCAGAUGUGCUUCCCAAGGAUUAUUCAGUGUGAUCGGAUCCAGGAUCGGAGGAUCGCCAUGUUGUUGGAGAUCCAGUGGUGUCCCCUGCGGACUUCCAGAGGCAGAUCCAAAUGGAACAAUCGUAUGGUUACAAUGGCUGGUUCAAUGGUCAAAUUGAGGGUAAAUUAGUCUAAUAAAAAUAUAAGGUCUUCAAAAGAAUUAUCAAAUUUACCCAUUCUCAUUGGUCAUUUUUUCCACAUCCUACCCUUAUGGGUAAUUCUCCCUUUGAAUUUUGAACUACAUCCAAGUAAUAAAUAUUUUGAAAGUAAAUCCUAUAUACUACUUUAAAGAUGCGACAAAUGAAAUGACAGCUUCCAUAAAUAAUUAUCAAUUUUUUUAAUAUGUUAAUAAAAUCGUAAAAAUAUCUAAGGUACAUCGGACAGCAGGAUUCGAUCCAAAUGGGUAAAUUCAAAAUCACAGAAGUUGCUUUGAAUGACUUGGGGGUGUUUGGGCAAUGAGAAUAAUUGGGAACAUUUUCUCACUUGCAGGAAAACAGCAGAAAAGUGUAACGUAAGCACUCUAGGAAAGAACCAACAAGAACAUUGUUUGUGUGAUGUCUGAUGAUCAAACCCUCUUCGAAAUGUACGAAACUCAUCUCCGUGGAUUUUCUCAAGACCCACUGCACAUCAAUCUCCAAAACCAAGCAAGCCCACGCACUCCUCCUCCGAACCCACCUCUUGCACAACCCCCUCUUCUCAAGCAAGCUCAUCUCUUUCCUGGCCCUUUCCCAUUCUGGCGACCUCAACUAUGCCCGAAAACUCUUCACCCAGAUGCAAAACCCGGACCCAUUCAUCUGUAACACCAUGAUCAGGGGCUACGCAAGAAGCCAAAAUCCCUAUGAAGCCGUGUCUUUGUACUAUUUCAUGGUUGAGCGCGGCGUUCCUGUGGACAAUUACACAUACCCAUUUGUUUUGGCGGCCUGUGCUCGCUUGGGGGCUGUGAAAUUGGGUCGGAGGUUUCACUGUGAGGUUUUGAAAAAUGGGUUCGGGUCAGAUUUGUUUGUUAUCAAUGCAUUGAUUCAGUUUUACCAUAACUGUGGGUCCUUUGGGUGUGCUUGCGACGUGUUUGAUGAAAGUACUGUCAGAGAUGUGGUGACUUGGAAUAUAAUGAUAAAUGCGCAUCUUAAUAAAGGGCUGUCUGAAAAAGCUUUUGAUUUGUUAGACGAAAUGACGAAAUUGGAUAAUUUAAGGCCGGAUGAGGUGACAAUGGUCAGCUUGGUUCCGGCUUGUGCACAAUUGGGGAACUUGGAAAGAGGAAAAUUUCUUCAUUCUUACUCAAAAGAGCUUGGUUUAGACGAGAAUCUUAGGGUAAACAAUGCAAUUUUGGAUAUGUAUUGUAAAUGUGAUGACAUAGAAUCAGCACAAGAGGUUUUUAAUAGGAUACGGGAGAAAGAUGUUUUGUCCUGGACCAGCAUGUUGUCAGGGUUGGCCAAGUCAGGUUAUUUCCAAGAGGCACUAGCUUUGUUCCAGAAGAUGCAGCUGAAUAAGAUUGAGCUAGAUGAAAUCACACUUGUGGGCGUGCUUUCUGCCUGUGCUCAGACAGGAGCACUGGACCAAGGCAAGUAUAUCCAUCUCUUAAUAGAUAAAUUUGAAAUAAAUUGUGACCUUGUGCUUGAAACCGCUCUUGUUGAUAUGUAUGCUAAGUGUGGAUCCAUAGAUUUGGCUCUACAAGUCUUUAGGAGGAUGAGAGUGAGGAAUGUUUUCACAUGGAAUGCACUGAUAGGAGGGUUGGCAAUGCAUGGUCAUGGCGAAGAUGCAAUAUCCUUAUUCGAUCAGAUGGAACACGACAAACUAAUGCCAGAUGAUGUUACAUUCAUCGCUCUAUUAUGUGCUUGCAGCCAUGCAGGAUUGGUUGAUGAGGGUCUUGCCAUGUUUCAGGCCAUGAAGAAUAAGUUUCAGAUUGAGCCAAGGAUGGAACACUAUGGAUGUGUGGUGGACUUGCUUUGCCGAGCCAGGAAGGUGGAUGAUGCAUUGGCCUUCAUUGAGAAUAUGCCCAUCAAAGCUAACUCUGUCUUGUGGGCUACUCUUCUUGGAGCUUGUAGGAGUGGCGGCCAUUUUGAUCUUGCAGAGAAGAUCGGUAGAAGGGUGAUUGAGUUGGAGCCUGAUUCUUGCGGGCGCUAUGUGAUGCUGUCGAAUCUCUAUGCAGGUGUCAGCCAGUGGGAUCACGCCUUAAAAUUAAGGAAGCAGAUGAAAAACAAAGGAAUCGAGAAAACCCCAGGUUGUAGUUGGAUAGAGUUGAAUGGCAUGAUUCACCAGUUUGUAGCAGGUGAUAGAUCACACCUUCAAACAGAACAGAUUUAUGCUAUGAUUGAAGAGAUGACCCGAAGGGUCAACUUGGAUGGAGGCCAUGUACCGGGCACUGCAAAUGUCUUGUUCGAUAUAGAGGAGGAAGAGAAAGAGCAUUCUCUGUUCCUCCAUAGUGAAAAACUGGCCAUUGCCUUGGGGUUGAUCAGCACUCCAAGCGGUUCACCAAUUCGAAUCGUUAAGAACCUCCGUGUCUGUAAUGACUGUCAUUCUUUUCUGAAGGUGACUUCCAAGGUUUAUAAUCGAGAGAUAGUUGCAAGGGAUCGGAGCCGAUUUCACCAUUUUAAAGAGGGUUCUUGCUCCUGCAUGGACUUCUGGUAAAUUUUGGUUGACAACUUUUGUGACUUCUGCUGUAAAACAACUCCAUGAGUGGUACUUAAUUUGUACAUGUACCAAAUCAUUUUUUUUUCCCUGCUAAAUAAUACAGUUACUUCCUGAUAAGAUCAAAUCAGAAUCUGGGAAGCUUCUAUUAAAAGUCCAAGUUCUUGAGGACGAAUUUCAUAAAGGGAAGAAUGAUGCAUGAAAGAAUGAAUGUGAGAUGUAACUGAAUCUUCGUAUCAUACUCAGAAACUAUACAAUAAUUUUGGAAACAGUCUGAAACCAUUUACAGUAUUCAGGAACAUUAAAAUACAGGACUAAACUAGCUAAACGCAGCAGCAAAAUGUCAAUUAUAAUUUAAGUUUCUAUUUGAAAGAUUUCAGAAUUCUGAGAACUUUGUCAGAGUGAUUCAGAAGCAUCUCUAAUCACUAGCAUACAACAAAGGAAAAUCUAGGGUGCAAAUAAGGUAGAAGAAUCCCAUUUUCUACACCUUGAGGACUCAGAAUCCCAUUUUUAACCUUUCGCAUUGAUCGCCGAUGGAUCAUGACUCACUCAUUACAUAUUCGCUUGAAGCAUUGCUCUCAAGAAGCAAAGGCAUAUAAGCCCUCUGAAACAGGUCAAUUUCUUUGCCUUGAUCAUCGUCUUGCUCCUUCUUCUCCAGAUUGUGCAGGCUCUGGAUAUCCAGGUAUGGAUUCAUGGUGCACUUGGUUAGUUCCAUUCUCCACUGAACGCUCUGGCCCAGGAAGUAGCCACUGAUGAGAACGAUCUACAGAAAUCUCAGGACUGUCAACAGAUUGGGCCGUGUCAAAUGCUUCUGGCCUCACGUGUUUUGUUUCAAAAGAGUCUUGUAACGAGAGCCGGCAGACUGGGCAAGUAGACUGUUUUCUUAGCCAUACAUCAAUGCAAGAGAGAUGAAAGUUGUGUCCACAUUUGGGCAUGAUUCUCAAUACCUCUUUCUCUUGAUACUCACCCAAACAUAUUGAACACCUGCAGGAGUAAAAGGACAACCAAAUCACAUCCAAGACCAACAAGACCUUAGAAAUCGCGUUAAUUUUAACUAGGGAUCAAAUGGACAAAAAGAAAACACCAAACAUCUCAAUUGGGUUUCACCAAUUCAAUCAACAUCCAUUAAUCCGAGAUCCAAUGAAUGAAUAAUCACAAGCAAUAAAUUAUACCAAUUCAGUUGACAUUCAUUAAUCUUCAAUCCAGGAAACAAAACAGAUUUGGGGCGGCACUUGCAUAAGAACACAGAUGUACACAAGAUGACAAAACAAUAACAACAAAUACCAAUCUGAUAAAGAUGUGUGAAUUGCACAACUAAUGCCCAAAGGCAGGUACCUCAAACCUGCCAUUUUUAUGGGGUUUGAUCCCUGGGCAUAAAUCUCUGAAGCUGAUGAACUCCAAAACCUAAUAAAACCCCAUGUUACACCAAGUCCCAGACUUCCAAAAGCUGAGAGGACAAUGUGUUACAUUAAGUUAUUAACAGAGAUUCAAAGUUUCUUCAAUCAGUAGUAAAAAGGAGGCUACACUUACUGUGCAUCUUCCACAGAACUAAAAGCCUCCCGGUUGAACUUCAUUGUUGGGAUUGCAGCAACCAUAACAGGUUCAAGGCCACUAAUCCGAUGCUCUGGCUGGCAGAAAAACAAGAACAUUCAAUUCCAAAGCUCAAAAUUUUUUAUAGAUAAAGCAAAAUAUCUGCAGCAGGAAGGAAGAUUGCAGAUGCAAUUCAAAAAGAAGAUUAUCUUAUGAAGCCACCCAUCAUAAAUCAUGAAGGGAAGAACAACCCCAAAUCGAUAUUAAUGGUGAAGAGGAACUAAACCUCUACAAAUUGGAUUAGACAUGGGCACAUCUUCACAGAUUUUGCAGUUUUAUUCUCUUUUGUGCAGUUGCAUUGUGAGUGUGUUUCACAACAAUGCCUUACCAUUAAAAUUUUCUAAUUCAUUUCUACCCCAUCAAAGCAAUUUGAACUACAGCCUCCCACAACUAAAUCCAGGAACAAUAACAAUUGACAUGAAAUCCAGAAGAAAGGUGUGGUCAAUCAUAUUAUAAGUCUACAAAAGAAAGAAACACACCAUGCCUGAACCAAGUGAAAACUUUCACCAAAGCUACCAAGAAAGAAUUGAGGAGCAUGCUUAAAUUUCAAUCCUUGAAAUAGACCCGCAAAGUUAGAGAAUUACAGGAUCAUUUGGGAACUUCCAUCAAACACAGCUCCCCAUGGGAUAAACCAGAGAUCCAACAAUUGUCAGAAUCAACCCAGAUCAGCUAUUCUUACCAAAGAAGAGAACACCCAGUACAGAGAAUGGAAUAAUACCUGUUCAAGAUCGAUCCUAGAGUCAAUUUCGAACAUCUGCCGCGACUCGACCCCUCGGAGCCUCCCACAUAUCAAUCUUGUGCAUACAAACACAAUAAAAGUGGCACUCAUCCCAAACCCAAUAACAGUAGUAAUCAAAUUCAUCCCACCCAACAUCUCCAACCCCAGUUCCCACUCCUCAAAGCCUAUUCACAAAACCAAGAAACACCCAGGAGUCUAAAUCUAUAAAUCUACAAAGAAUAUGAAAGUAAAAACAAAGAAAACAGUAACUGCAACACAAGGUAGAUCGAGAAAUGGGGCGCUGGUUCUUCAAAAAGCGAGAACACCCACAGCUGCCGCAACAACAACAAACAGCAAAAGUAGAAAAAAAAAAAAUCAAAGAAAAGAAACAAAACCCAGAUCAAGUUUGUUGAAGAAAUGGGAACUGAGAAUUCCCAGAUUCAGGAAAACCAAUCAAAACCCAAAAUUCACAAACUACCCAUCUGGAAUCCUAAUCGCUUUGGGUGGACUCAAAGUUAUUACUGGAGGGGCCAUGAACGGAUGGUGUGGAUCAAGGAAGGAGACAGUUCGUUUUCUUGCUCUUUGGAAGGGUAUUCGCGGGGUCCACAGGCGAAGGGACCCACAAAAAUUGUGGGGUUCUGAUCAGACGGUUGACAGGGGGUGUGGGUUUUGGCGGCAAAAGGGGUUCAACGGUAAAAAAAAAGUGGAUUUUGUAGGAUUGUGGAUUGUUGAGGAUGAUGACGCUGAUGUUUUCCGGGUGCCGAGAAUCUCUCUCUUUUUCUCAGAGAGAGAGAUGUGGGUUUGCUUUUGCAUCUCCUAGUCUCAUUCUUCUCAACCUUACUGCUUCUGGAUAAGACUCAGUCCUCUCUCUGUGUCUCAUCUUCAAUUAUUGACUUUGUUUAUUGAAGUGAGUGAGUUUUCUCCGUUAGUGGUUUUGGUCUAAAUUGUACUUGAUGCCUCUUCAGAUACUUUUGACUUCCUUGUCCCCAUACUUCCUUUACAAGAAAAGAAAAUGAAAGGAAAUUUUCUACAAGAUUUCUUUUGGCUACUCCAAAUAUGAAAUAUUAAUUUAUUUAUUUUUUAAUAUGGAUGCUGUUCUUGUUUGAAAACCUCAAACAAGUCGAAAUAAGUAUUUAUGAUUUUCUUCCCUUUUGAUAGAAAAGCCUGAAGCACCUUGAUGGGUAUAUCAACUUCCUCCAUUUUUCUGUCAAAUAAAUACAUUUUGAAUUAAAUAAUGUUUAAUUUGUUAAUGAUUCUAAUAAUUUUUAAAAAAAUAUAUAUUAAAAUUAAAAAUAUAAAAAUUAAUCUCAAGAUUUCCCAAACUAAAAUUGAUUCUAAAUAAUAAUUUAAGUUUUUCUUUUCCAUAAAAUUUUAAUUUUUCUGAAUUUUCUCAAAUUUAAUAGUUGGAUUCAUUAGUAAUUUUUAAAAAUGAUUUGAAAUUAAAAAUUAAAUAUCAAAUUUGUUUUGAACCAAAGCUAGGAGGGUUAUGUCAAAUUUUCUACUAAAUGUAAUAUAUAUUUGAAAUUUUCCAUUAGCAAACUAACUUCAAAUUAAAUAAAAUUUGAUGUGUUGAAUUCUUUAGCAAGCCUAAUAAUUUUUAAAAAUAAUUUGAAACUUAGAAUUAAGUCCUCACUACCAUAAUUUGCUAGAUAGAGUGGUCAAAAGAUGUAUCUGUAAUGAAAAUUGAUAUCAUAAUUUUGAUUUACUUAUAUAUUUUAAAAAUAAAUUAUAAUUGUUUUAAUAAUUUAUUUUAAAUAAGAUAUUGUUAAUUUUCAUUUUCUAAAAUUUUAUUAUUUAUAUUCAAUAAAAAUAAAUUUAUUACUUUAUUAAAAUAUUAAUAUGCAUACUUUAUAAUUUUUAUUAAAAUAUUAUUACUUAAUUUAAAAAUAUAUGAUUUAUGUUGUUUCACCAAUGUCACUAUUUUUAAAUUGUAGUAUUAUAUUAAUUACUUUAAAAUAUUCUCCUAGUUUGUAUUUAGUUUUUUAUUAUUUAAUAUUUAUUUUAAGUUAAAUAGGAAUUUUGUGUAAAAUUUUAAAAUAUUAUAAUUCAUUCUUAAUUCUAAAAAAAAUUACCAUUUAUUUUUAUUAAAUAAUAUGAUUUUAAUAUUUAUUGAAGAAUUUGAUAAAUUGAGAAAUGUUUGGGUUUAUUAAGUAUCUGGAAAGGGUAUUUUUGGAAUUAAAGGUAAAUCACUGUUGCAAGAGAAAUUAUUUCAAGCAGGAAAAAUGGUGGAAAAUUUUGAAAAAUGGCUUUUGUUCAAGUUCAACAGAGAAUAUGGCAAGAAAAUGUGAGGAGUGGGGCAUGGUUCAAGGGGCUUGAAGACAUUGUUUUCCCCUCUUUUUUAUCACUUUUUCAUUUAUUUUCUAGAAAAUAGUGUUUUUUAAGUUAUUUUUUAAAAAUUGUAUUAGAAAAUAAUUAUACAAAUAUAAAAAAUAAUCAAAAAUAAAAUUUAUUUUUAAGAAAUAUUUAAAAAUAUUAAAACAAGUUGACAAUAUUUUAAAUCCCCAGACAUACUUUUGAUAGGAAAACAAUUUUUGAAAAAUAUUCCCUAGCAUCCCUUAAUUUCCUUUGCCAGCUAAAAGGAAGAAUUCUUGCAUCUGUGACAGAGUACUUGUUCCAUCAUUAAUAUUCUUGUCUCAGUAUCAAUCUUUCUCUUCAUUUUUGGUAAACCCCACCUCCUUUUCUUCUCCCUUUCUUGGAAUAUUUUGUGGAAAAGGAAAGAGAAAAAAAAGAAAGGGGAAAAGCCUUUUGUUUUGGGUAUAAAGGCUCUCAACCAUCUUGCAAUUUACAAGAUCAGAGUCUAGAGAAGAAUCCAUGAUGGAGCCAGUUUGAUGUAUGACAUAGCAUUUGCCCUAUUGGCAGUGAGAAGAACACAGAACCUGAUAAAAACAAGUGUCCCAUAAAUAAUCCAUGAUGGCUUGAGAAUAAGCCCAAAUCCAAGUUUCAAACCCUGCCUGGAAGAUAAAUCAAUCUAGUAUUCUUGAAAAACACUUCAGUUAUGACAUAUGAACCCCUUGAAUCGCUUGAAAUAGUAGAGAUAAAGAAGAAGCUAAAACAACCUCAAUCCAUUUGAUUUCCAUGGAAAUAUAAGAACAGAAAUCUAAAUUCAAAAUCUUUUAGAACCCUUCCUGUUUUCCUACACCUCCUCAACAGUCAUAUUGUAAGAUUUUUAGUGCAUUAGGGCAACAGAAUAUUCAGAGACUCACCAGCAUUCCAGCAUGUUUACUGGUUCCCUUGGCUGCGACGGCAUGAGGAUUUUCAUCUUUGAUCCAAUCAACUAAUUCAUUUUGUUAAUUGAAUAUAAGUAAAUCCAAGUGAAAAGGGUCCUAAUAAUUUCCUUCAUUUCAAGAAAACAUGGCAAACAUUUGAAAGCAUACCAAGUUUGAUAGUAUGAAAUAAAGCAGGUGGAGUAGCCGAGAUCUGAUUAGAUUUUACAUUUAGUUUAGGUUGCUAGGUAAUCAAACAAACUGACACGAAAAUAAUCUACGUCUUUUGAUAUAUAUAAAACAGGAAAAAAAAAAAAUCAAGUAACUAUUAGUCAAUCAGGGCUAUCUCUAUGAUUCAAAAAGAAGUUAGAUCCAAACAAGCAAAGCUAUCUCUAUGAUUCAAAAAGAAGUUAGAUUCAAACAAGCAUAGCUCCCUCUAUGACUCCCAUUUUUGAAAAGACGGGAAAUAAUAUUAAAGAAAAGGAGAUAAAGCAAUGUACAUCCUAGCUGAAGUAUGGACACUAGCAUUAUCAAUCAAAAUCCAUGUAAGCUUAGAAGGGAACUCACUAUAUAAAAAAAAAUCUCAGAAGUUUUAUAACAGUGAAAUGUGAUACAAGUUAAAAAGCACCAUGUAUUUUGUAGUGAAGGUUAUAGAUUUUGGUUUUUGGUUUAAACUUCUGGUCGCCUAUGAUUCGAACAUAAGGUAUAUUGUAGUCAAAGUUACAAGUCAAAGUUACAAAUUUUACAACUUCGUCUCAUAAAAGUUUAGAAACCAACAAAAGUUACAAGCUAACUUGUAGAAAAAUAAACCUAAAUAUAUAAACAACUGCUGUUCACCAAAGGCCUAGAUGAUGAAGAAAUUUGAUUAUACUUACUCCAUAAUGAUCCAAAAGGCAUGUUUGCAAACAAGAAUUCAGGGCCCUUGACAACUUCAACCCUAGUCAAAACAAGAUGGAACCACCAACUGAUUUGUCCUACUUUACAAUCCUUUAUUCUUUCCAUACCAAUCACAUUGAUCCGAGAUAUUCCAAAUAAAAUUUAUAAUACUUUGGAUUAUAGUAUAAUUUCCAAAAAGAGCCUUUCCAUAUUUUUUAGUAAUUAUAAAUUGAUAAUCAAUUCGAUAAGCAUAGGAUCAGAAUAGAUGCUACGAAAGGAAUAUUUAUAGCCUUACCAGGUGAAUUAAUUCUACAAAAAGAUAAGUGGGUGGAUCAACAAAGCUGGCCAACCAUUAAGAGCUUGGCCUGCCCUCCUGGUGAAUUCCUGACAACAAUAUCUACCUGAAACAAACUGCCUCAAAACCAAAACUAUGAUGAGAAAAUUUCUCAAAACACGAUCAUUAAUUUCCCAAGUUAUUCAGGAUACAAGGUAUGUAGUGUUGUUUUGUUAUUUCCAUAGGAAAUCAAUAUCAAAACAGCCACAUCUAAUACAUGUUAGGAAAUGCCACCAAACCACUUAGUAGGACGAAUGAUCCAUUCACUUUUUGCUUCUUAUAAAUGAAUUAAACCUCAAUACUUUGACACAUGUUGGUGCAUCAAAUUCAAUUCUGCUCUCAAGAUCAACACAGAACUACGCAUCCAUCUUUCCAAUGUUAGGUUCCCUUUUAGUACUCAACCAACUAAACGCAAAGGUCAAAAGAAAGCGAUGGAACACCAAUUCUUCAUCACAACAUCUAUUCUAUUAUUUCUAUUUCUUCACUUUCCUUACCUUCAUCAUUGGGAACCACUAUAUGGAAUACAAUUUCUUAUAGAUUAGUUUAUCAAAGAAACAAUAGAAAAGCACACACACCAAGCUACAAAAUUUCAACAGAAUUGAGAAGUACAAUUAAAGGCAUUUAGAUAAUUCUCACCAAACAUUUAAUUUGAGUACAAGAAAUGGACAUUUUAUUCAAUCAAGUGGCAAACAAAACAACAAAAACCAACCAAACCCAGAAAAUCCAAACCAACCAACAACAUUCCACUGGAAGAUAAUCCAAUUAUUAGAGAACAGAAUCUCAACAAGGGAAAAGGAAAAGAAACAAGUGAUUCUGCCAAAUUCUCACAUACCGACCUCACCAAAUCAAGAAACCGUGUCACAAAUCGCCAGCUUACUCCACAGCAGUUCCAACUGGUACAUUUACAUUCUUGUAGAGGCAAAUAUAGGGUGCAUCACACCCCACAUAAGGCCCAGUCCACCUCCCUUCAUCAAUGUAGCUAGCAUCCCAAACUGAGGCAUACAGAAACAUGGGUUUCUGUGGAAACCCUUCUCCAUCAGCUCUCACCACCGACCUAAUUACUUUCCCAUCAAUCAACCAUUGGAUCAAAUCUGGACCCCACUUGAUGACAUACUCGUGAAACCCAUCAGAACAGUCGAAACCCAGAUCGUGUAUAGCUUCUCUGUUUCCAGUCCCCGCAGUGUAGUAAUUUGUCUGCACGAUUCGCUUGUCUUUGCCCAAGAAUUCGAAGUCAAUUUCGUCUUGGGACUUGUCGCCUUCGAGAGAGGACAGAUAGAUGUUGAAGUUGAGGCCGCUGGUGUUGCCUUUGGGGCACUGGAUGAGGGAGCUAAAGGUGCCGUAUUGGAAACGGGUGGUGGAGCGCCACCGCGAGCCGCCGCGGUGGUCAAAGGUGAGGGUGAUGGUGGAGGAUUCCGGGGAAUGGGUGCAUGAUUCGGGACAGUAGUCGACGGCAAUGAACUUUAGGGGUUGGGCCUCGUGGUGGAGAGAAGGAUCCGCCAUUGGAGUUGCAGAGAAUGGGAGGACAGAUUAUUUUGGUCAACGAAACGUGGAAAGACUCUCAGAUCAGAUGACGUCGAUUCACAUCUUGCUUUCUGAUUGGUUUUUCAAUUAAUCAAACGACCGUCGAUUCACAUCUUGCUUCCUGAUUGGUUUUCUUAAUUGAUUAAUUGUGGUAUGAUUAAAGUAAAUGCAAAUGGAUGUUCCGUUAAAAACAAGAAAGAUGUCUUUUCCAUCUCUUCUAUUAUAUCAAUUUUCUUUUCCAAUAUAACAUGAAGAAAUGUCAGAUAUAAUAAGCUCCUUAAUAUUAGGAAAUUUUCAUAAUUUUUUUAAAAUUUAAAAUUACAUAUUUAACUUUAAUAAAAUUUUAAAAAUCAUUUUUAUUUAAAUUUAAAAAAUUAAAUAAUUAUUAACUAGGAUUUGAUAUAUGCUUCUUUUAAAAACUUUUUUUUUUUUCUACAAUUCCAUAUUCCACGAUCAAGAUGGGAUGUAAAUUGUAGUUUGCAAUGGAAUCCGGGAAGGGCUAAGGACUUGAGUUCUUCUUAGACGAUUGGACUAAAUGGGCUUCUAAUUCCCAUCCAAAGGACAAACAAAGGCACAUGGACUUCCAGUAGAGGCCCAUAAUAUUGGGCUUUGGAUUUACUGGGCAUGUUUCGUGUAAAUCGAGGAAAACAGACGAAGCAUCUUUAUCCACUAAACAAGCACGAGAGGAUGAUUAGUUGUUUUCCCUUUUGUUCUUUAUUCAGUGGCAUAUGUUAUAAAAUAGGAGCAUAAAAGACUGCUGACUGGUAAGGGAGCCAAGCAACAUUGACUCAUUUCAAGUUCUUGGAGUUUCUGAGGUUGGUGACCGAGUCGCCUCACCUCAAUAACAACGAUUUCCGGUAUCGAAAAGCUUCAUCUGCAACCCAACAUUAGUAAAUGGACAAGGGUAUAGAAUAGCUAUGCGAAUGAGGAGGGUCAACUACGAGGCAAAAUGAGCAGAAUCCUAGAGCAUUUGCAAGCUACAUAUGAAACAAACACAUUGUUUUUCUACACCCCAUUGGCCCCCCACCUGUUGUCAAUCUCUAUUUUACCAUUAAUCUAGGCCAGAGGCCGAGUAAUAGACAUGUGCCGCGUGCAAUUCCACAAUGUGUUUUGAGCCCAAAAUCCCUAUCAUGAGACGACAAAUCUCUCAUUUCCACACCUAGAGGAAUGGAAGUGCUGGGAAUCUUCAAGGCCGCAGUUCAUCGACUAUGGUCCUAAUCCAAGGGCCACCUUAACGAUUGGACUGGAAGUUUUCUCCCUAAACUACCCUCGAGUUAUCAACUAACCCGCAUUGUGAUGUAUGAGAAAUAUUGUAGAAUUUGUUCACUUACAGUGGCAGGUUGGUCUCCGCAAUGCAACCAACACAAAGGACACGGUACGGAGCUUGAGCCCACAAAUCAUUCUUUCUCCAAUUGCUAAACUCCAAUGGCUACCUCUGCGUCACUACCAAUUAAACUAACUUUCCCGCCGGAUUUAAAAUUCGGAUCCAACGUUCCAUAUCCGCUCUUCAUUCACAAGCAGACAAACUUGAACCGCCUUUCCUUUGUCGCCUCCUUGCUGUUACUUUCCCCACUUAAGCCGUCUGGCUUGGGAUGAAGUCACAACUUUGGAGCUGACUGGCUGUGGCAUUAGCUUCCAAGGAAUCGCUUUAGAUAAGCUUGGGUUACUUCUGAAACUUCACCUGUGUCAAUACAAACUCAUGCAUAAAUGACAUUUUUAUAACCCAACAUAUUUGGUAUAAAUUUUUGGUACAGAUUUUCUGAUAAGUAGAAUUCAAGCCAUUGAAAUUUGCCCAUGAGAUUUUAAGUCUUUUCUUGUUUUUUUCUUUUUCUUUUCUUCUUCUUCUUCUGUUUUAUUUUUCCUUUUUUUUUUUUGUUAAUGGUCAGUUUUACAUGCAUUUUCUGUUUAUUACUGAGCAGAAUAAUUACCUUUACAUUUCACUAGCUGAUAAGGAAAUCAAGCCUAGCUGAGGGGGUUAGCAAGGACAUCACGCAUCAGAAUGAAGAUAGAAAAUUUAAUAGGAAAAAAACAAACAAAUAAUGGAGAAGAGAUAUACCUUAUAUUCAUUAAUUAAACUUGGAAUCAUUCUAUUUAUAGUGCCAGAUCAGUACCACCAAUGCUUAUCUGUGCAUCAUAUGCAGUCAUAGAAUUUAUUACUCCUACCGAUCUUCAUUGAACCAGGAAAGUCCAUCACAGCUUGACCUAGCUCUUCUUGUGACUUUGGCCGUAAUGGCAUCCACCAAAACUACUUCUGCAGCCACCUCUACAACCAACACCAUGGCACAACCAAGCAAACCAGCGGUUCGUAGAUUUGUAGGUGUUCGACAAAGACCUUCAGGAAGAUGGGUUGCAGAAAUUAAGGACUCAUCACAACGGGUAAGACUAUGGCUAGGAACGUAUGAUACCCCUGAAGAAGCAGCUCGGGCUUAUGACGAAGCUGCCAGAGCUCUACGAGGGGAGAAUGCCAGAACCAACUUUGCGCCAGUUAAUCCCAAUUCAUACCAAUCGGGUUCCUCCCCUUCUAAGGGUGGGUUCGUGUCAGAAUCUGAGGAGCGGAAUGGGCUCAGCUUCUCUUCCUUGAAAGCCAAACUUAGCAAGAACUUGCAAAGUAUCAUGGCUAGGACAUCAGAUAAUAAAUCAUCUAAAAGCAGAGUAAGUGAUCACUUCACUUUCGCUAGCAUAUUCCACUCAAGGAGUUACCAUUACCAAAGCCCUGUUGACAUGAAGAGUAUGGAGAAGGUGGUGCAACCAAGCAUCAUUGUCCCACAUGUUGCAGAUGAGCCCUCGUGGGAAAGCUCAAGUGUGUCAGAUUGUAGUACGGAAUGGGUUGGAUUCCGGCAACAUGGAUUGGAUUCUGAUGGAUCAGAUAUUGGAGAGAUUUCUGCUAGCGAACAAGGGUUUGUUGAUCAAAUGAUGGGGUGGAUAGAUAGUCCAGAGUUGAGCAUCAGCACGAGUGAAGUCUCAAGGAGUAAAAGGUUCAAGGUCUCUUCUUCUGUGGUGGUUCCCCCAACCUUUAGUGGCUCUCCAUAUAAUGGUGAGAACUAAUGAUGUGCUGUUAUGGAAGUUAAUAAAUUUUGUGCUAUGUAAUGAAUUAAGCUUCAGCCCAAAGGGUGUCUGAAGCCACAAGAAGUUAUUGUUUUCGAGUGAUGAUGAAGAUAAACUCCUGAAAGUAUGUGUACGGUGUACCACACAAAAACACAGUGAGAGAUAAAACAACAACAAGGUGUCCAAUAAGAUGAUCAAGUUUGGUGCAUGAUGACUCUGUCAAACUUCAAUAACAGUUCUUGUUCUCUCCAGUAAGCUGAUGUGGAUUAAAGAUUUGGUUAAUGCAACAUGAAGACUUCUACUAUGUGUGAAGUACAUACCUAAUGUGUGUGAAGUACAUAUAUUUACGUGGAAUGAUAGUACAAAAGUUUGGAAUGUAUAUGAUAAUAAAAAGGGUGCAUUUAAUUGCUUCCUAGUUCAUGAGAAGUUGUCCCUUAUGCAUUUUUAAUAUGCUCACUAGUUACAUUGAUCUCAACAGCCUGUAGCAAUCAACACUUUCUUUUACUCUAGGUAAUAUAGAAUGAAAAGCUAGAUACUUUGAUAUGCUUGAGAUAAACAUGUAAUCCCUUGGAGUGAACUAUAGCCAUCCUCAAGAUUUACUUUAAUUUCACAUCAGAUGCUCUCUAUUUUUCAGUAUGCAUAGGGCUUGGGACUUCUCGAUUUUUCAAUUGACUCAGCCUGUAACCUAAAACAACAUAGUUCAAAGUUAUGCCUUUGGAUUAUGUCCCCCAUCAUAGUCCAUUGGGUUCUUCGGCAAGGUUUCUAUAUUUUAUGGAAGAGAUCACUGCCUAUGUCUUGGCCUCUAGCACUAGCAGCUCUUUGCUAUUUGAAUAGGAAAUAUUCUAUUGGGGUGAUUUUCAGUGCACGUUCAGGACCAUUGUUUUUUGCUCCUUGACCGUGUAACAACAGGAAGUUCAAGGAGUGAAAUCCCGGAAAGAUGAUCAAUUCAAUAGUAGUCUCGGACAGGCGCCACCCUUGUAAGCUUAGGACGAAUACUACCCAACCAAGAGGAAGAGGAAGAAGACAAGGAGUUCAAAAUCAAGAGAGCAGAAACAAGAUGAGAGAAAGGGACAUACAAAGAAAGCAAAAUACUAUACUUCUUGUCACUUUGGUACAUUGGAUUUUUCAUAAGAUCCACGAGACAACCAGUCACCAUCAUAUUUCUUUAGCGAAACUAAUCAAGGGUUUGGCGUUUGUCAAAGAUAUUUUAUUUCCUAAGAGGAAUCUAGACCUGAGCAGUGAGGCAUUUGUUAACAUCUUCUUCAAAACACUGCAAGACACAACUAAGAUGGUUCAGGUUUCAGAUGAGACAUUUAGCAGGUCGAAUGCCACAAUAAAGUUCACUAAUUCCUAUAACAAUUUCUGACACUUUUAGCAGAAUCCAAGAAAGGGAAUGCAAGUAGAAUGCUAUAUUGAAAAUUUACCUGUAAUUUUGCCAACUACAUAAAUCAGUAGCAAUCUUUCCUAAACCACACAUCCAAUCGAAGUGGUGAGUUUCAAUUUUUUUAGAGCAGUGAAAUUAAAUUAUUUAAGACUUUAUUGCUAACUGGGGCAGAAAACCAUUUCUUCUCAGCAUAUUACGGCUCAAUCGUUCCCAAUCUCCCUCUAACCUCCGUUUGGCUGCCGAUAAAAUUGAGGAAAAGAAAAUGAAAUUUUUAAAUAUUCCGGUUGGCAGAAAACUGACCUCGAUUUAGUACUAGUUCGCCUCAAUAGAAUGGAGACUCUUGUUUUCAUGGAUGCUAAACUAAAAACGUACAUAUUUGUAAAAGAUUCAAUGGUUCAAUUCCUGUUCUCUUCUUUUCUCGGCAACCAAACAAGUUGUAAACACGGGGACCAAAGAGGAAUAUUUACCUGUAUUUGGGGCGUGGGCAUCACCACCAAUAAACCCUAGACUAACCCACUUCUUUCUCCAAGGGAUGCAUUUUUCGUUGGGUGGUAGAGGAAGUUGACCACCGAAUAUAGAAAACCUUUACCGUAUAAUAAAACGCUCCGUUUUGUGCCCAUUCUGUGGAAAAGCACUUUUUGGUUCGGAGCUGUUUGUCCGUUUCGUCACCACCUUUUCUCCGUUUAUGGUCGGGCCAUCCAUACACGUGAUGUGAAAUUUUGUAAAACCCCGUUAGCCACCAUCAAUAAUGUCAUUUCUAAUUAGCUUCCUAUAAGUAAAGGACAAGCGUAUUUGUAACAAGAUGUAUUUGAAUGGUUUUUUCGAGCAUAUCCCUUCGAAAUUUAAAUUAAUUUAUGAAAAGAGAAAACAAUAGUUUUCUUAAAAAGCAUUUUUUACAUUGAAAAAUUUGAUGUCAAAUGACUUUUUAUUUUGAUAAAUAAUGGUUUUUUUGGCUUAAAGUCGCAUAUUUUAUGUUCAAGAUUGUUUUUAAUGUAACGAUUCGAAACAUUUAUUACUUGUACAAUUAAUAUAAAUGUGGUUUGAAUGGCCCCUUGUCCGUUUGAUACUUUGGUGGAAAAUGGAUUUAUACCUAGAUAAAUGUGGGGUCCACAAAUUAUAAGAAUGAUAUAUAAUGAAAUUUUAUAAAUACGCAAAACUAAGUAUUAUAAAAUAAAGUCAAAUUAUAAUCAAACAAGUUAAUUCAUGUUAGGGUCAAAAGAGAAUAAGGUAAUAUAUAUUUCGUCAUUGACAAUAUUUUAUAAAGGAAGAUAAAUUGUUGUACUCCCUCUAAAUUCUUUGAAUUAGUGAAAUCAAAGCUCAUAAUGUGAAAUUAAAUGUUCUAAUUUGACCUAUAAAUACAUAUGUUUUUCUUUAAUAUCAACAUUUAAGAAAAAUAAGAAGAGAAGAUUUUGAAAAGUUUGACUUGAAUAAUAAGAGUUUAUAUUUGAUUAUACGAUUUAAAAACAGUUUUUUAUUUUUAAAAACAAGAAAUUGUUUUUAUAAUUUUUUAAUACUGUUUGGUUGUUAUUUUUUAUAAACAGUCUUUAAAAACAAAGUAAAAAUAAUAAUAACUUUUGGAAUAUUUAUUAUUUAUUGAUUAUAUUAUUAAUUUAAUAUGUAUUUUUUGUAUUUAAUAGUAUAUAUUAAAUCAUUUCCUCAUGCGACUGAGAUAAGCUAUAACAAUAUAGUUAUUCAUGUCACGAGCUUAUAAUAAUACCGUUUAAAAUAUAUUGUAAUGAUGUGAUUUAAAAGAAUAGAUUAUGAAAUAAUUUAUUAUAAAAGUAUUAUUUAAGCCUUUUUCAUUUUCAAUAAUUAUAAGUUUUUUUGGUUUUGAUUUAAAUUUUAAAAAUUAAAAAAUAGUUUAAUUGUUGAACUAAACCAAAUAAAACCCAAACAAUUAAAUUAUUAAAUUAAAUUUCAAUUAGUUUGGUUCUUAAUGGAAAAAAAACCCAAUUGAUUUUAAAUUUAUUAUUUUUGUUAAAUCAAAAUUCAAUUAGUCUAGUUUGUAAUAAAGAAUAAAAAUCAAGGAAAAAAAAUGAGUUUCAACACACCCCUAUAAAAAUAAUCAUAAAAUAGGAAUCUUUAAAAAAUAACUCAGGUUUAAUGUACUCAUCGAUUAAAUAUGGUAUUUAGAAUGUUCAAAUAUAGUAUUUUAAUAGUGUAGUACUUUAAAUUAAAAAGCGCAUGACAUGCUAAUUAUUUUUAAAUUGUUACUUAAAAAUUAUAUUUUAUAAAUUAAGGUUUUUAUUUUAUGGUUUUUUUCGUACAAUUGUAUCUAAAUACACUUUUCCCAAAUAAACACCGAUGAAAUCCCUUUGAUUUUAUUUUAAAUUAUCAUUUAGAAUAUUUUCAUUGUCAUAUUACUAAUUUAAUAUUUAUAUUAAUAUUAAGGUGGUAUUUGGAAAUGAUUUUUGUUUUCUAUUUUUAAGAAUUGAAAUUAAUAAGAACUCUCAAAUAAUUAGUGGAGAUUUAUAUUAAAAAGAUAAUAAUUUUUAUAAUUAUUUAAAAAAUUGAAGUAUCAACAAAUUAUUACUAACUCAAAUUUUAAAAAUUCGUAUAAUAAUUCUUAGAUCCCGUUUGACAAUAUUUUUUAAAGUGUUUUUUUAUUAUAAAAACAAUUAAAAGAGGUUUUUGCGGUGUAAAAUAGGUAUUUGAAAAUAUUUUGAAAAAAACUUUUAAAAAUUUAUAAAAAAACACUUGAAGUAUUUUUUAAAUAAGCAAUUGGGACAUGUUUUUUUAAAAAAAUAUUUGAAAUUUUUUCAUAUAUUCAUAAAAUAUCAUUUAUUGCUAUCAUCAGUUGCCGUUUCACUCUUCGUUUUCCUUUUAUUAUCCUCUUCCUCUUUCAUUUCAUUUUCAUAAAAAUAAGUUUUUGAGUUUUUUUAAUAACAUAAUUACUUAUACUUUUUUAAAAUAAAAGUUUUUGGUUUAUUAUAAUAAUUUACUUUUUAAUAAAUAUUUGUUUUAGUAAUUUAUUAUUUAUUAAAAAUAGUUUUGUAGUUAUAUGAUAUAUUAUUAAAAAUAUUACUUAAAUCAUUUUUUCAGAUUAUCAUAAAAAUAUUUUUCACAUAAGUUCCGUAAAAUAAAACAUUUUCGAUAAAAACCACCGUCAUUGGAAGCAAUGCCAAAUGGGCUCUUAAUGACAUUAGGUAUAUGUCUCUUUUAUUUUUGGUUUUUUUUUAUAAAUAAUUUUAUAUCUUAUGUAGAAGAUACUUUAACACUUAUUUAGACAUACUUUAUGCUUUUGAUUUUAAAAACCAUAAAAUAAUUUAAAUAGGUCAAUAUGGAUUAAAUGGUUUAAAAAUAUAAUUAGGUUAAUAUUGAAAUUAUUAAAUAAGUGAAUAUGAGUAAAAUUCGUAUCAUGCAGACUUACUUCAAAAUAACCCAUUUAUUAAAGAGUUAUGCAGUUCGAUACAAUUUGACCCAAACCAAUUUAUAUUGGAUCCAAAUCCGCAAAAAACGUGUUGGUUUUCUAUCACGUUAGGGAAAAUAGGCAAACAUUGUAGUAGGUAUAAGUUAUAAUCCAUCCUAAGUUCCUAACAACUAUAACGACGCCGUUUUGACGGAUCAACGUAUUCAUGGAUCACUUGUUGCCGGUCAGUUUCACCUUUCCAACCCUCCAAUUGUCCCCUAAAAACUAUGGUCUCGAAACGGCGUCGUUUAGGAAGUUUGGAAUCUUUGGAUUUACAUAGACGUUGCUGAUCUCCAAAACCCUCAUUCCGGAGUUGGUCGUUCCGCUGGAAAGCUUCAAAGGUAACAUCGCCUUCUAUCCAUCUGAAAAUUCUCAGAUCUUUUAUUGUAAUAUUUUCUUGGUGCUAUGAUCUGCUGCAUCCAAUUCAGUUUCUCAUCAUCUUCGCUGCAAAUCUUCUAACUGAUGAAUACCGAUCUCUCUCUCUUUUUUCUUUUUUUCCUGAUUUUGCUAACUACAGAUCUGAUUUUGCCUUUGAAAGCACUAAUUUUGGUUCUGAAAAAUCAGUUAUCGAAUGAAUUAGUUUCUGAUUCCGACACCAGUUCAAUUUUUUGGUUCCUGAAUCGAGAAAGUACUUGGAAAAUGGCAAUCAAAUGGUGCUUUAAUUUAUUUGUGGUAUUUGAGCUUUAGAGAUGCUUUUCCUGCCUUUUAAUGUGACAUAGGUUGAUGUUGUUGUAGUGUAAUCAGAGCCUUAGGGUUCUCUUUGUUACAGAUCUGCUUCUGCUUUCUGUAAGUUUUAGGUUUGAUCUUUAUUAUCUCUGAGAAUCCAUAACAGGAGAUUAGGAUUUAUUAAUUGGAGAACUAUUAAAUUUUAAAGUGGAAGGGAGCAUGUGGUCUGCCAAUGAAGUCGGAAAAAAGGAGUGGAUGACUGUUGGAGUAUGCUUUUACCAUUUCUUCAUAGUCCUUUAUUUAUUUUUUUAAUGGGUUUCUUCAUAGUCCUUUAUAUAGGUGUAUUUUUUGGAGGUUCUGAAUUGAAUUCAACAAAACUAGAUCCUGGCUUAAAUAGGUAGUGUAGUAUUUCUAACACUUGAAAAUAUUUAGCUUUUAAGUAUUAAAAAUGUUAAAAACACUUCCUAAAAUCACUGUUAAACGUACUUUAGUUAGAUUUCUGUUAUUCUAGUUAUCAUAGGCUGAGGACAAACUCAGAUAACUGUUUUCAAUUUUACCAAAUGUCCAGAACUUAUUCCUAGUUUUGAUCUCUAUUUAUUUGUCUUUUGAAUUCUUUAUUUGCUGACAUGUUAUCUUAACUUGUCUGGGUGGUGUAGUUGGUUAUCACGCUAGUGUCACACACUGGAGGUCCCUGGUUUGAAUCUGGGCUCAGACAUUUGCAUUAAUUUUACCCGUUAAAAAAAAUAAAAUUGUUGACAUGUUAUCGUAAAAUGAGUGGGGAAUUUCAUGACAGUUAGCUGUACCUCAAAGCGUAGAGCUCAUACUGUGAGAAGGCAAAAUGCUUUGCUUCUGCUUUGCUCUUUUAAAAUUGGCAUUUUAUCCAUUACAUGCAUAUAUGUUCAUGUGGAUGCAUGAUGUGUGUGCUUUCUUAAGAUAGCUAUUCUAAGACAGAAAUAAGUAAUAAUUUCAUGGCUCAAUUUUGUUAAGCAUUGACAUGCCUGUUUAGCAUUGAUGGUUGGUUAUCUUCUAAUAGCCUGACUGAACACUUGUUUGACAAGGUUUUUGUCUGCCUUUUGUUUUGGUUUUGUUUUUACAUUAAAGGAUCAAGAGAGAUUGUCUUGUUGGGAACUCAAGGAAUAUGAAGCCCAUCUUUUGUGGCAACCUUGAGUAUGAUGCACGUCAGUCUGAUGUUGAGCGACUGUUCAGAAGAUAUGGGAAGGUUGAUAGGGUGGAUCUGAAGUCCGGUUAGUUGUUUUGCUGCUUGAGUUAGUUUUUCCUUUUACUUUAAAUCCUGUAAAAGUUUUGUUGUUUCAAAUUGAUAGUUGUCUUGUCCUUCAUUACCAUAUCAGUGUCUAUUGGCUACCUUUAAAUCUUGGUUU
rnacentral:lncRNA from 1 species